UUUUUGGAAAAGCUUAAUAAUCAUCGUUACAAAUACAUAGUCUGAUGCAAAUUUAUACAUGAUUUCUCCCGAAGAAAUAUCUAUCUAUACUAUAUAGUGGCAAGAUAGAUAAAUACACCAUUAUAUCAACACACAACAUUAUUUUUAUUCAUGAAAUAUAUUACUGAGAAAGAGUACAUGGUGCAUGAAGAUAGAUAUCAUUAUGAUCAGUUUUGAGUUUUGUCCUCAGUUUGCUCGGCACCGUGACCACCGUGACCACCUCCACCAUGUCCCCCGUGUCCACCUCCACCGUGGUUGUAACCACCUCCACCGUGGUGGUAACUACCUCCUCCAUGGUUGUAACUACCUCCACCAUGGUUGUAACCACCACCAUAUUUGGCAUCAUUUACUUCAUUAGUCUUUUCCUCAGUUUGCACGGCAACAGAUUCAGCAGCACCAUGACCACCGUGACCUCCUCCACCAUUGUAACCACCUCCACCGUGACCUCCGUGGCCUCCACCACCAUUGUAACCACCUCCGCCAUGGUUGUAACCACCUCCACCGUGGUUGUAACCACCUCCGCCGUGGUUGUAACCACCACCAUUGUAACCUCCUCCACCAUGGUUGUAGCCACCUCCACCGUUGUUGUAACCACCACCACCAUGGUUGUAACCACCUCCACCGUUGUUGUAACCACCACCGCCGUGGUUAUAACCUCCACCAUUAUAACCACCACCACCGUGGUUGUAACCUCCACCAUAGCCUCCAUAUUUGGCAUCGUUUACUUCAUUAGUCUUUUCAACAACUUCUGAAACACGAUAUAUAUGAAUUGUUAAAUCAUUACUUCAAAUAUAUAUGAAUUUAAUGGUAGUGGGUUGACGAUAUAAAAUAACUUUGUAUACAAGACUAAUCAAAAUAUUUCAAGUUUCCCUGCAAAUUAAAAAAUAUUAAUUGAUGUGGUGAUUCUAAAUAUUUUCAAUGGUUUUGUGUGCAAAAAUUUUUUGAACCAUCAACCAACCACCAUUAAACUUAAUAUAUAUAUAUAUAUAUAUAUGAUUAUGUAUUCACACCGGCGUAAUGUUUGAAUAAUUUUACAUUUCUCACAAACUUAUUGAAUAUAGAAUUAUACCAAAUUUAAAAAGACUCACAAUUGAAUAUAUAAUAUAAUUAUAUCAUAUUGAUCAUCUUUGUAAGUUAUGAAGCAAAUUUGAAAUCAUUUUAUAUAAAAUUGAGUGCAUGAAGAUUAACGUUUACAUAGAAAAGAAUUAAUUAUAACGUAUAAAAUUAUAUAAUUAAGUAUAAAAGAAUUAUCCUUCAAAAAAGUAGAAAAGAAUUAAAACAUAUAUCUAAAACGCUCAUGAAAACAUAUAUAAAGAAACAUAAUAUAAUAUAUAGCUCACCCUUUUUAGUAUCAGUGGAAGUUUCAGUUAAGUCCCUAGCGGACAUCACUGAGGAAAUAAGAGCCAUAGCCAAUAGGCCUAGCAUGAGGAUUGCCUUUUUCGAAUCCAUUGUUCAAAUGUGAUAUUUAGUAGUGAACGAUGAGAAAAACUAGUAAGAAGUGUACUCUAUAUAUAAUGGAGGGAAGGAGGGAGAUGUAGGGACCUUCACUUGGCAGUUGAGAAGGUAGCUCUUGUGUAUUAAUUCAUUACUUUGUAGGUUCAUAAUGUAUCUAGUCAUAUUAUAGAUCAGAUACAUUUCAUCAGCAAUUAUAUUGAUGAAACUUCUUCUUGUUCUUGUUCUUGUCGAAUGAGUCUUCAACUAUUGCUUCAUCUUCACCUCUCAUCAGCAAUUCCAACGAGCCUUCCACUUUUUCUUCCUUUUGAAAAUUCAUGAAGUCUUUUUAUUUUUCUUCUCUCAAAUAUAUUCUUUUACUUUUCACUUGAGAUUUUUAACAAUUGCUACUCAUCUUAUUUAUAGAAUUUUAACUCUUCUUAGAACCAUUGUCUAUAACAAAAUUUUGUUUAAAUUUGAAGAUAAUGAGAAACAAACUUUGUUUAAUAAAAAACUUUGUUCCAAAGAGAUAGCAUUAAUUUAGUUUUAUUGAAAAAGAUAAGAGUAAUUGAUAAAGGAUAUAAUUGAAAAAUCGUACGCUUAAAAUACCAAAAAGACAGUUAAAUAGUAACGAAAAAUUCAUCCAAAAAAGACACUUAAAAAGAAACGGAGGGAAUAGUAUUUCAUAUCUUAUUUAUGUAUUAACAAAAAAUAUAAAAUUUUGAUAUUUUAAAAAUAUUCGACAAAUACAAAAAUAUCUUAUAUAUUAUCAUUUGCCUAUAUAAUAUACGAUAGUAAAAAAAAGAUGAUUAAAGUAUGUUAGGUAAAUAAUGCAUUUAGUCACUUGUUUUAGAAUAGAGUAGUUGUAAAGAUUGAAGGCUAUGAAAAUGGAGAUGAGUUAUGUCUACUUGCUAUUGGCUGAAAGUGACAUUUUGAAAGCAUGCUAUUGGUUCAUACUAGCUAUCUCAUCCCAUGGAGAUACAUACAUUCAAACUUAUCCAGACACAUUCAUAAUAUGUUUUCUAUAACUAAACAAAAUUAGCAAAAGAGUAUUACAGAGGUAGACUCUAAACUUUUUAAAGAACAGUGAUGUUGAAUACUUGUUUGAGAAAGUCGUGUGUAGGCAUAAUCAUUUAGACACAAAGUUUAGGCACAUACACAUAAAUAAAUAAAAUUAAAAGAUAAAUAAAAUAGUUACAUCAAUCAAUAUCACUUUAAUUAUUUUCUUUUUAAUGUUUUAUUUCAUAGGUGUGUGCCUAAAUGUGAGAUGUUGGUCUUGUGAUCAAGUUAGAGUUUCUCAACUAGCUUUUACCGUCGUAUAAUUUUAUUUGCUUCAAACGAUUACACAAAUUAAGAAAGAAUCUAUGUUUCUCAACUAUAUUAAGAAAACGAGUUGUUAGAACUAAAAUAUCGAAAUAUAAAAUAUGAAUAAAUGCUUUCUUAAUUCAAAGAGCAAUGAUAUCGAAACAUAAACUUUGCAAUUUGGUUAUUAGUUGAAUAUAAUCCGGAUGUACGAUCUUGGAUCGACGGCUGAGAUUAUUUUUCCGUGUAAAAUUAAUUUUAUAAUUUGAAUAAUUGAAUCACAAAUCAAUGGUCAAGAUUCACUACAUCGUAAAACUGCGUGUUGUUUUUCCAGCAUGGAAUUUGGGUCCCUAUACUCCGAUUCAUCACAAUAAUGAAAUAGAACUAUAAAUAACCUAUCGUUACAGAGGUAAACACAAUUGACUGAACUACAUGCAUGAACAAAAACCAAGUCUUAUUUUCACGUGAUUUUUGUUUCUUUCAUACCGGUUGUGGUUCUAAAACCUUCCUAAUUGAUUCUUACAUCCACCCUUAGCUAAGAUUCUUAUUUGGGACUUGGGAGUGUCACUCCGAAAGUGAUACUAUUAGAGGACACAAUUGAAAAAAUAUAUAUCAUACUGAAAAUUUAAUGUGACAAUUAUUUUACGAUAACUAUUUACAUAUAUGUCACUCAUCGUUUAACGAAAUAUGGUAAUGAUUUUUCUAAACACCAAACAUUUUGUUAUGACAAUAAUAUUUUAGUUUUUAUUAAAUAAGUAACUUUUUUUACAAAGGAAAACUUAGGUGAGUUGGACUCCAAGCAUUAAAAAUAUAGUUACAAAGCACACAUAACUAAAAGAUCUUUAUAUUAACAACGGAGAUUGAACUUACGAUGAUGUCAAUCAACUCAUUAACAACUGAAUCAACAUUCGCUAACGACCACGACCCACGCCUUCCCCUCCCUUACUGUUCAACUGAAGUACUAUGUUGAAUUAAAUUGCCAGCAACAAACGAUAACGAGACUCACCCACUUAUUCGAGUUUUCCUUUUCCUUCAAUUCUAACAAAAUUUAUGCAUUUAAAUAUUUAAUGUUUCUUUGUUUUUUCCUAUAGAUACAAAUUUGCGGGUAUGAGCAUUUAAUGUUAAGCAAAAAUAUCGCCAAAUAACAUUGCAAUUUGUGAAAAAUAUCAUGAUUAACGAUCUACUCGUCCAUGGAUUAACGGCGGUAACAUUGUUGCUGGCUCCAUUAUUAGUAAUUAGUUCUAUGGUCGACUCAAAUGAUCUAAACUGUAAACUUAACUUCAAAUGUUUGCUAGAACUGCAAGACAGAAAAAGAAAGAAAAGAAAAACAUAUGUAACGUGAAAAUUGAAAGUAAGUUCCAGAUUGUAUGAUAAAAAGUAGAGUUGUUUGGUAAAGCCUAUAAUUAGUACCAUUGUUUUAUCAUAAAUUUAUUUUGAGAUAUUUUUUUCUUUUUUGCAUAAUUUUAUUAAAAUUGAGGUGUUGUAAAUAUUUUUAUGAUCUCUUACAUUUAUUAACGGUGGAUCAUUUGGAAAACAUCAAAAUUUCAAUUAUAGCUGCAUAAUUUUUAGUUAGACUUUCUUUACUUCCUGACCAUCAGGGGUGGGAAUAGGUUAGGCCGAGUUAGGCUUUGCAAGGCCUGAGCCUGAUCUGUCAAAUUUUAUGAAGGACUAAGUCUGGUCUGCGGUCUGUCAUAAACUUACUUUUUAGGUCUGAGUCUAACCUUCUGAAAGUUUGAUACGGUCUGCUAGCCUGUUUAAAAGCAUAUUUCAUAUAAACAUCUUUAAAUAAGCAAUGUUAUCUAAGUUUAAAUAGACUAACGAACUAAUAUAUCAAAUAGAUUAAACUCUCUUUUGAUAAUCAACAUGACUUUUUAGAGAAUUUGAUUAUAUAUUGUAUCAUAUUUCAAUUCUACUUUAUAAUAAUACAUUUAAAUAUGCAAAAAUAUAAUGUAUACUAAUAAACUUAAAUUACUAAAUUACUGAAAAAGUUAACAAAUUUUUAUUUUAAUUCAAAGUACAAAAUAUAAUAUAAUAAUAAAUAAUAUUAUUCAUAUUUAGGCUUAAUUACCUUUUUGAUCCUCUAACUAUUUAGUUGGUAUCAGAUUGAUCCUCUAACUAAAAAUUGAUUUAUUUCGGUCCUCUAAGUUUCUCACUGUUAUUACAUUUAGUCAUUUCUGUUAGUUUUAUUCAAAUAAACGUUAGAGUUUGUGUUAUGUGGGUAUCUGACCUCCUGUUUCACACAUACAUAUGAACCAUAACAGUUACCAAUAAUAUCAGUCACUAUUUAAUCAUAAUACCUUAACAAUGAAUAUGACCAAAAUGAUACUAAUAAAUAAAGUUAGAGGACCCAUAUAACACAAACCCCAACGUUUAUUUGAAUAAAACUAACAGAAAGGACUAAAUAUAGUUAUAGUGAGAAACUUAGAGGACCGAAAUAAAUCAAUUUUUAGUUAGAGGACUAAUCCGAUACCAAUUAAAUAGUUAGAGGACCAAAAAGAUAAUUUAGCCUCAUAUUUACUUAAAUAGUCCGGCCUAAUAGGCCUAAAAGGCUUUUAGAAUGACAUGUGGUCUGACCUUUUAAGCUAAAUGGGCUUCUAAAAAAGUCUAGGCCUUCUCUGUUUAGGAAAAAAGUAUGAUCUGGCCUAGCCUAUCGUAUGUAUGCUAGGUCGUAGGCCCCUGUAGGCUGGCCUGACCUAUUCCCAUCCCUACUGACCAUACUCGGAUCACUAAGAUAUUUUUCUCACAAAGAUAGAGAUAUAAGACCGAAAAACACAAUUACGUACACUUAUUCGUAAAACAAUCUUACGUACACUUGUUUGUAAAAUGAGAUCAACCAUGAUAAUAAACAUGUUUUAAUUUCAUAAACAUAUUUAACAUUUUUUUUUAUCACAUCAUUAAACUAUCAUAUAUUAAUUUAUUUAUUUUUUCAUCUUUAUUUUUAAAGCAUACUCCUUUCGUUUUAAAAUAUAAGUAAAUUUUACUUUUUAGGUUCAUUUAAAUAAUGAUGUAUAUGGUUUAUAAUAUGGGUCACAUACAUCAUUAAUUGAAUGAAUUUAAAAAGUAAAAUUUACUUAUAUUUUGAAACGAAGGGAGUAUACAAAAGAUUUUCCAAAUGAGAUAGAAAGAUUUUUCUUUUCAAAUGAAUGAUUGAUCCCAUAUUUAGAGAAGGGGCUAGUUGUUUCCUAUGCAACUAACAAAAUAGACCACUCAUCUGAUAACAAGGAAGUGAGAAGAAUUCACAGAACACUUGGAUAGGUCAUUCAAAAAAAAAAAAAACUAGCAUAAGUCAUUUGGUGCCGCCAUUCAAUUAAUUCAUUUCAUACCGACACUUUGACAAUAUUGAGGCAUCAAAUGCAAUCGUUUUUUAUUUUAUUUUCUAUGAUUAAAAUCGACAUUGUUUUUUGGUGAGAUUCGCAAGUGGCAAGCCACGUAACUGUACAAGUUCAACAUGCAUUUGACUUUAGCAAAACAAAUUUCAAUCUUAGAUUAGAUCACGUGUUUGUUUUCAUUUGUUAGAAUCCAUUUUUCUAGUGUAGUAUCCGUUUAAGAGGAAAUGAAUUUUUAAAGUGAAAAUCUCUCUAACUUUUCUCAAUUGUUAUAUUAAAAUCAUUAAACAUGAAAGAGAAAAAGAGAUAUAAAAUUAUAAAAAAAAAAAUAUUAAACUUAUGUUUUAGAUGUAAUAAUUGAGAAAAAUUAAAACCGUUUCAAUUUUUUUUUUAAAUGGCCAAAUAUUAUUAACCACUAAUAAGCUUGGGUGGUAAAAAAUACAAAGAUUUAUUUCCACAUUAAGAUGGUUGUAGGUUUUUGGGUAAAAUAUGUUUUAAUCAGUCUAAAUAUAUGUGCUUUCAAUUUUAGUCUUACAUAAUUUUAAUAGUAAUUGUAAUUGGUCCUUCAUGUCAAAUGGGUUGCUAUUUGAGGCUUUGAGCUAAAGGAAUUUGAGGGAUUCUUCCAUGCUCACAAGACCAAAUCAAUAGUGAUUGGACAUAAACGCAAAAAGAUGGUCUUUAAAAUAUUCAAUAUUUAAUUAUUCUUUUGGUCCCUUAACUUAUUUUUUGGUUUCGUUUUGGUACCUUAACUAUUAAAAGUUUUAUUUUGGUCCCUUAACUUAUUUUUUGCUUUCGUUUUGGUCCCUUAACUAUUAAAAGUUUCAUUUUGGUCCUUUAACUUACUUUUUGGUUUUGUUUUGGUCCCUUAACUCAUCCUCUGUCAACCACUUUGGUCUUUUAUAUUAGGAUGAAUGUAUUAGAGUUAAGGGACCAAAAUGAAACCAAAAAAUAAGUUAAGGGACCAAAACGAAACCAAAAAGUAAGUUAAAGGACCAAAACGAAAUUUUUAAUAGUUAAGGGACCAAAAUGAAACCAAAAAAUAAGUUAUGGGACUGAAACGAAACUUUUAAUAAUUAAGGAACCAAAACGAAACAAAAAAAUAAGUUAAGGGAUCAAAAGAGUAAUUAAGCCUUUUUUUUUUUUAUCAAUUUCCUCUUUAUUAUUAAAAAACUAUUCUUUUUGUUUGUGUGUCAAACACUUUUUAUUUGGUCAUGUGACCAUAUUAAAAUUUCUCAAGGAAUCAUGACUAGAUACGCCUCGUGGACAUUUUGAUUGACGUACGGUGUUGACUCGUGAAUAAACAUUAGACUCAAUUGUUAUUUCAUAUAUGUAUCAUCGAAAUUUUAGAGACAUUGUUUUAAAACUUACUCUGAUUCAUCAAUUUAUACUUUUUUAAUUUAAACUAUCAUAUGUUUAUUUUAAAAAAAAAUCAUGAAAUAAAAAAAUUAAAAAAAAUAAAAACUCAUGACCAUAUUCUCGAAUCCCAAGUUCCCAAUUUCUUCUACCUAAUUCCAUGAAUAAUAUGAGUGUUUCACAUAUAUGAGUUUGAUUAAUUUUUCACAGUAUUGGGUGUGAGGAAUUUUUCAAGCACUACCGACAAAAGAAAUAGAGAUCACUUCGUCGUUACUUUGCACAACAAUGUCUUAAUCAUUCUAAAAAAACACUCUUCAUAUCUUUAAAUUUAGGCAUUUUCAUGGAAAAGUGAUGUUUGUCUUUAGAAAGUGUACUAAAUUGUCGUUAAGUAGUAAAAUUUAUAAGUUAGUAUCGAUGUAGAUUGUGAAAUCUCAAUUUAACUACUACGAUAAUAGUUUGGAUAUAUACAAUUGGGGGGUGUUUCACUUGGCAAUGGUUGGAUUAACUGUUCUUUAAAGAAAAAGGUAAGACACUGAUUAGGUCAUGAUAGAUCUGCUUCUCUUAAUUACAUAGAAACUUGCCGCCUUGGUUGCAAUUGUUCGAAUAGUUUAGUUUCACGACAUUUGAUCAAAAUAGUUAAGUUAAUUUUUAGUUCACUAACCUUUUUCUCUUGUUACGACCCCCUAAUGUCUUAUGUGAAACUAUAUCAAUUGAAGGCUUGAUUAUAUGCCAAAUUAUUAUCACAAAGCAGUUAGCUCAAGCCCCGAAGCUAAGGUUAGUGGUCAUCGAGACCAAAAUUAGUUUAUGAACAUUCAUAAUCGUAUAAAAAAGCAUUAAGAACAAUUAUAGCUGAAUAAAACCAAGCAAUCAUUUGUAAUCAAAAAACUUUUAUGGUUCGGAUUUUGGGAUAAGGGAGAGAGAGAAAGUGAAAAGUUUAAAUGUAAAACUGUAAAAUGCGGGGAAGGAUGAUUUUUCUUAUAUAUAUCAAAACGAUUCAGAUUAUAUAAUCUGAACCAGUUUUCGUAUUAUUUUAAAUUUCAAAAUCUGAAGGGUAGUUUUAGAAUUUUUAUAUGGUGCGUGGGUAUCUCAUAUUGUAGGAAAAGUAAUAGUCCUAAAAUAUUAUUGGUAGAAAAAUGUAUUGGGCCAUGGGAAAAAAGUUGGACUUUAGUGAAAAGAGUAAUAGAUUGUAAUCAAUUUAAAAAGUAUAUUUAUUUAUUAAUUAAUUAUUCGGUUCAACCGGUUUAAUUAGUUGAACCAUAAACCGGAGUCUUACUGGUUUAAUCUUCGGUUUGGUUUUAAAAACAUUAAUAUAUAUAAUAAUAAUAAUAAUAAUAAUAAUAAUUGUACCAAAAAAAAUAAAUAAUAAUAAUAAUAAUAAAAGUAGUUUGACGACCCAAGAUGACCAAAGACUGACAACACCACCAAAAAGAAUCAAACAAAAAAAACACCAACAUAAAAAAUAAAAAUAAAAACAUCCCAAUGACCCAAACCAAAAGCAGAAUGGACCAGGUCAACUACACCAAAGAGAAAGAAACAUAGGCACCCAGACAAGCCCCCCAAAGCACCCAUACAAGCCCCCCACAUAGCAACUACCGGCUCAAGUAGAGAAUUGCUUCCACCACUCACUCAUAGUGAGGGCAAGGCGAACCAAGGUGGGACUUAUAAAAAAAACCAAUAACACAAAGAGAACUGGGUCUUCAGAACCAAUUCCUCCACAUCUAGAAUCUUACCGACAAACACAAAAUCAUUAAUGUAACAUGUGUCACAUUGCGUGAAUGUUGUAAAUUUUAAGUACUAAUUUUGCUUUCUAUUCAUAAAAAUUGUGACCUUUAACCGAAAAAUUGUGAUAUAUUAAAAAUAUGUAUUAAGAACAGGGCUGACCCAAGCUAUAGGCAAAUUAGGCAUUUGCUUAAGGCCUUGAUUUUUUUUAUUUUUUUUUUACCUAUUAUGCAUGGUACCAAUUUUUUUUAGCGAAUCUCAUAUUUAUUUAUGGUGAUAAAAAAUUUAAGAGAAAUAAUACAAGUUGUCGAAUGAUAUAGCGAUUGAUUUGCUUAAUUUUAUAGAAAGACUUGGUUUUUUUCCAGAUGUGUAUAUUGGUUAUAGAAUAUAAUGUUAACAAUUCAUAUAAUUGUUGUGUCUGCAAAUUUGAAUUUGUUUUACUGUCGAUUCAAAAAGAAUUGUUAAACUAAACCGAUUACAAUAAUUUUGCAUCCAAAAAAAAUCGAAAUCACUUUGAAUAAAAAUAUUAUUUUUGUAAAAAAAAUAUAUAAUUAAUAAUUUCUUUUUUGUACAAACCAUGCUCCAUUUUAGAUUUCGCGUUGAGCAUCAAUAUGUGUUGGAACGGUCCUGAUUAAAAAAGUUUUAUGCUAUGUAUUUUUUUACCAGUGAAUUAUAGAAAUCUCAUCCAUAAAUUUAAAAAGAGAGGUAAUAAGACAAGAUAACACAUUCAUCAUUUUUUGGAAAAGCUUAUCAUCAUUACAAAUACAUAGUCUGAUGCAAAUUUAUACAUGAUUUCUCCCGAAGAAAUAUCUAUCUAUACUAUAUAGUGGCAAGAUAGAUAAAUACACCAUUAUAUCAACACACAACAUUAUUUUUAUUCAUGAAAUAUAUUACUGAGAAAGAGUGCAUGGUGCAUGAAGAUAGAUAUCAUUAUGAUCAGUUUUGAGUUUUGUCCUCAGUUUGCUCGGCACCGUGACCACCGUGACCACCUCCACCGUGUCCUCCGUGUCCACCUCCACCGUGGUUGUAACCACCUCCACCGUGGUGGUAACUACCUCCUCCAUGGUUGUAACUACCUCCACCAUGGUUGUAACUUCCACCAUGGUUGUAACUACCACCACCAUAUUUGGCAUCAUUUACUUCAUUAGUCUUUUCCUCAGUUUGCACGGCAACAGAUUCAGCAGCACCGUGACCACCAUGACCUCCUCCACCAUUGUAACCACCAUGACCUCCUCCACCAUUGUAACCACCGUGACCUCCGUGGCCUCCACCACCAUUGUAACCACCUCCACCAUGGUUGUAACCACCUCCACCGUUGUGGUAACCACCACCACCGUUGUGGUAACCACCACCGUGGUUAUAACCUCCACCAUUGUAACCACCACCGUGGUUAUAACCACCAUGGUUGUAGCCUCCAUAUUUGGCAUCGUUUACUUCAUUAGUCUUUUCAACAACUUCUGCAAACACAAUAUAUGAAUCAUUACUUUAUUUAUAAUUAACUAGAAAAGAAUUUAAAAAAUAUAGAAAAUGCUUGUGAAAGUAUUUAUAAAGAAAAAUAAUAUAUAGCUCACCCUUUUUGGCAUCAGUGGAAGUUUCAGUUAAUUCCCUAGCAGACAUCACUGAGGAAAUAAGAGCCAUAGCCAAGAGGCCUAGCAUGAGGAUUGCCUUUUUUGAAUCCAUUGUUCAAACUUUGUUCAAAUGUGAUAUUUAGUAGUGAACUAUGAUAAAACUAAGUAAGAAGUGUGCUCUAUAUAUAAUGGAGGAGUGAAGUAGGGGACCUUUACUUGGUAGUUGAGAUGGUAGCUAGUGUGUAUUAAUUCAUUACUUUUUAGAUUCACAAUGUAUCUAGUUUAUAUGAUAGGCUAUAUACAUCUUUUAUACAAUUAAUCAAAAAAAUGAAAUUUUAUUUAUAAUAGUGAUCGAAUAGUGUAUAUAUCUAUAAAUUUUAAACUAAAAUAGUUGUUUGAUGAUUUCGAUACCAUUUAUUUUGACUACUUCCUUCGAUCCAAAAUAAAUGAUCUUGUCGAUUGUUUUAAGCAUAUCAAUGCACAUCUUUGAUUUUUAAUACUCUCUUCAUCCUAGAUUAACUGAGUCAUUUGCUCAUUCACACAUAUUAAGAAAAAUGUAUAAAUGAAGGAGAUAAAAAAAUGAUUAUAAGUGUUUUUGUUAUGUAUUUGUGCAUUCUCCACUAUCAUAAAUGCAAAGUAUAAUAUAUUGAAUUGAAAGUGAUGAAAGUAGUAUUAAUUAGAAGAAAAAAUAAUUAAUAUUGUAUUGAAAAAUGAAAUGAAUCAAUUAUUUUAAGACAAUAUUUUUUUACAAAAAGUUCAGUCAUUAUGAGACGGAGGAAGUAUUAUUUAUUUAUGUAUUAACAAAAAAACAUAAAUAAAAAUUGAUAUUUUAAAAAUAUUCAUUGAGACAAAUAAAAAAAUAUCUUAUAUAUUAUCAUUUGUCUUUAUAUAAUAGUAAAAAAAAAAAAAAAAACUAAGUGAAUAAUAGACAUAGUCAAAUAAUUUCAUAAUUGAGAGAGUUGUAAAGAUCGAAGGCUAUGAAAAUGGUGAUGAGUUAGGUCUACUUGCUAUUGGCUGAAAGUGACGUUUUGAAAGCAUGCUAUUGGUUCGUACUAACUAUCUCAUCCCAUGGAGAUACAUACAUUCAAACUUAUCCAAACAAAUUCAAAAUAUGUUUUCUAUAACUAAACAAAAUUAGCAAAAGAGUAUUACAGAGGUACACUCGAAACUUUUUAAAGAACAGUGUUAUUGAAUACCACUCCUUUCAAUUAGAUACAUAUCACAUUUUAUUGAUGAUAUAAAUGUUUAUUAUAAAUAAGAUUAGAUGAAGUAGCCGUUAACAUCUUAUAAUUAUAUUUGCUUGAAAUGAUUACACAAAUUAAGAAACAAACUAUGUUUCUCAACUAUAGGUUCUUUAAUUACUCUAAAUAGUAAGAAAAACAUAAGUUUUUCUGAGGGAGUAGGAAAAACAUAAGUUAAAAGCUUAAUACAACUCAAAUUCCUAGAAUCCCUCGGCUAUGAGUGGAAAGCUUUCGUUUGGUGGAUUUGGAUCCUCUUUAUUGAAAAUUUUCUUCAAUUUUCUCCAUUUUCAAUCUUCACCAUUAAAAUACAACUACUAUUUGUUAGUAUAAUUUAAUUAUCACUUUCUCUCUCAUGAUUGAUGGUUGAGAUUUUACAUGAAAAAAUUUGAGAGAAUUUUCAAUGGAGAGAAUCCUAAUCCUCGUUUGGUUUGGUUUUUUUGGCUCAUAUAUUCAAACCAAGUAAGAAUAAUUCAUUUGUUUUGACUUGGAUUUUACAAAUUUUUUAUUAAAUCCAAAUGAAAGUUAAGUGAUUAAAAAUGGGCCAGCUUGCCUCAAAUAAUCACUCAAGUUGAUAUUUUAAAAUUUAAUAUUUUUUAUAAAUUUUAAAAAAUUAAGUUUUCUUUAAGAAUAUUAUAGAUUUUUUAACAUUAUUUUUUUUAUCAGAGGGAAAUAAAAGACACAAAAGAAAAAAAAAACUAAACAACUCAUUGUCUAAACACCCCAAAGACAUCAGCAAGCAAGUCCAGAUCCAACUCUUUAAGAGGGGAAUUGUAACACCCCGUUUUCCCAAUAUAAAAAUUUCAUAAAUUAAUCAGAGUAAAACACCUUAAACGGAAUAUUACACUUCUUUUCUUAAAAACAUAAAUGGAAUAAUUAUCCUUCAAAUUUCAACAACGUAUUGUCAUACCCCAAUUUUUGACCUAAGGCCCCACUGACACAUGUCACUUGACUCUGAUCGAUCUCUGAUUUUUCAGUGAAAAAAUUCGGCAGGGAGGUAUUUUAAAAUACCUUAUUUUUGAUUCCGAGUCGGACCCUCUUUUCUCUUUUUAUUUUCUUUCUAUCUUUUAUUAAUUUUAAUUUUAAGAUUAGUUACUUUUUUAUAUUUAAUAAUUUUUAUUUUCCAUCUUUUAAUUUUAUUUUUCUUUACAUAAUUUAGUUUAAUUUGUUUUUAUUUUAUUUCGUAUUAGAUUUAUUUUAUUUUUAUUUUUCUUUUUAAUUAAUUAGUGUCCAAAAAAAAAAAACAAAGUGUCAAUAGGUCCAAAAUAAAAUGUACAAGGUCUAAAAAAAUUCAAGUCAAGUGUCAACUUUAACAUUUCUUUUUCAAAAUUCACCAUAAUUGUCCAUCAUUUUCAUUAAACCAAUUUUCCAUUUUUCAUCAACCUCCUCACCUAUAAAUAGAGCCCUCAUUCCACACAAUUUCACACACCAAAAGUUCUCUUGAGUUGUCAAAGAACUUUUCUCUCUUCUCCCUCUUUAGCUUGUGUUGACGAGCUAUUCUUUUCUUCUCCCUCUUUUUUCUGUCCCUUCGGAAUAAGUCCCUUCGGUAAUUUUUGUCCCUUCGGUUGUCAAUUUCUUUUAUUUUCUUGAAUUUUAUUUCUUUUUAGUAUUUUUGCAUUUUUUUUUAUUUCUAUUUAGCAUUUUAAUUAUUUUUAUUUAUUUUCCAGCAAUUAGAAUGUAUUUAGGUCCAAUGUAAAUAUAAAUGAGAAAAGUGUGUGGGUGUGUGUGUCCUUUUAUUUCUUUACCGCCUUAUAUAUAUCCAAAAUUGCAAAAAAAAAAAUAGAUCAGGGAUUUUGUGGUGAUCCAACGUCACUACAAAAAUCCACGCGCUUUUAUUUUUAUUGCUCCGUUAGUUUAAUUUUUAUUUAAUAUUCCAAAAAAACAACAAAAAACAUGCAAAUAAUCAAAAUCACAAAAAUAUUUUCAUAAUAAACCUUGAUCCAAAUCAAGUGACCGCAUUUUUAUUUUCUUUUCUCCAUCAAACUUCAAUCAAUUUAACUUUACUUUUAAGUCUCUUUUUUCAAUAUUAAAAAACACAAACAAAUACUCAUUUGCCACUUGGCUUUUCAUUUUAAAACCUUUUUCAAAACUAAUAAAAAACACUCAACAAAUCAAACGUCAAUUUCUACCCCGAACUACGAGGUUUUGAUCCCUCACGGGUACGUAGGCAGAGGACCAUGUCCUUCCAAAUCAAUAAAAAAUGUAGAUAAUUAGGUCUUUAUUUUUAUCAGUUUAAUUCAUUCUUUUCAAAAAUAAUAAGCAAGUUAUAGCACAUUAAUUAAAUAAAAUCAAGAGGUUCUCGUAGAGUACUACGAAUAUUUAGGGUGCUAAUACCUUCCCUAAAUAUAACCAACCCCCGAACCCUAAAUCUCUCAAUAUGGGGUGUUUUGAACUUUUUUCACCUUUUUCUUAAAAAAUAAAAUGUUCAGUCGUGAAAUAAUUAGCGAGUCAAAAGCUAAUCAAAUAGCCUUGAUCUCCGAAAAAUGACGCGACAGAAAUGGCGACUUCACUGAUGAUGCCCUAAGAGGGUUGAGCCUAACUUGGCUUUAUUUAAUUAUUUGUGCUAUAACUUGCUUAAAACAAAAAAUAAAAAUGAUGGAAAUACUUGUAUAUUUGUUCUCUCUUCUUCUUUCUUCUUUCUUCUUUCUUAAACGUGAGUGGUGAGAUAAGUUCUACACCCGGACUUGAGAGAAAUAUAAGAUAGGAGUGGUAGACUCAUAGUGGCAUACCGGGAGUAUACUCGUGUCUAGUCACAUGUGAGAUAACCACACUUAGCGGAGGAGCUUGAAGUGAUAUAUGUCGGCGUGUGUUUUCACGUUUAGACUUUAUUACUCUUAAGUUUCCAAUGAAGCUAAGGACCUUUAGUAACCCUUAACCCAUCCUGGCCUUUUAGGACGUAGUGCGGUGGCUAACCGGAUGUUUUCUCGAAACUAGUCGACACGCGAUACUACACUCAAAUGAGACUUUCCUACGAACGUUGUUGGACCGGGUGUUUUCUCGAUAUCCGAUAAUAUUCGGAAGUAGUCGAGGACUUUGGGAACUUGGUAGAACCCGUGAUACAGGUACAUUUGAAACCAUAGUCCCUACCAAAUGGCGUUGUUAUCCUUAAGCUCCAACAUUAUGGACUUAACCUCACCAUGCAUUCCAUGUUCCUUAGCAUAAUCAUGCAUACAUGCAUUCAUUCAUAAAACUUUUGUUCUUCUCACUAAUAUCGAAGGACUUAGAUAAGUUCUUGUAAACAUCAAUGAUAUGGACCUUGUAAGAAGGAACACCUACAACUUCAAAAACCUUAACUAAGCUUUAGCUUUUGUUAAGAAUUUUUUCCUUGGUUUCGUUCUUACUUUUGAAAUGGGAACCAAUUGCAACAUCUUCACAAUUUUCAAAUAAAACAAUGUUCCUUAUCAAGUUUACAAUUACUUUGACAAGUCCUUCAAAAAAAACAAAUGUGUCUAUUUUUGCAUAAGCAUAGCAUGCAUACAUAAUUUCAAGUCUGAGUCUUACACUGUGUCUUUUCUACUAAAGGUCAAUCCAUCUCAAAGGUGUCCCAACUGUCCUCGUCCAAAGUCAACUCGCACCUACAACACUCGGGCAAACAAAAAAAGAGAACGUAUCAGUUUGAACAAGAAAUCCACGAGCAUUCGUGAAGAGGUAACAACACUAUUGACGUUCCUUCCGCUACUUUUUGUUCAAUUAAUGUUUGUUUGUUGAUUUUCGCUUUUCAAAAAAAAAAAAAAAAAACAUCCUUUCGUCCCGCCUGAGAUGAAAUUGAUCUUGUGUAGGGCUUUUUGCUUUAAGUAUUGGUCAUCUUUAAUAAAAAGGUCGUUUUAAUCCCGACUUUAUUUUAUUUUGUGCUUUUUCUGAAAAAUGGUAAUACAAAAAACCAAAAAGAAUUUCUUUAAUCAUUCGCAUAUAUCUGCAUAAUCAUAGCUUGUACUUACUUGUCAAAAUCAAUAAUCAAAUCAUGCAUUAAUAAACCCGUUGAACAUAAUAACCAUGUACUCUCUCCCAACUUUGAGUUCUCUGUGACCGAAGAUAAGGAAGAGGAGAAUGAAGAGGCUCCCAGCAAGAUCUCUCGCCCACUGAGGCAUCUUAGCCGUCAAAGCUGCAAACAAAAUAUCAAAGAAGAUUGUCCAAAAAAAUUGCUUUCAUUUACAAAGACUGGCACGAGAUGCUACCACUUGCACUUCAUGAGUAUUGUCCGGUAGUACACACUUCAACAGGGGCAACCCCCUCCUUCCCUCAAGUAUAUAACUUAAAGGUCGUGCUUCCUAUGGAGGUCGAAGUCCCAUCAAUAGGAGUUCUGCUGGAGUCCCAACUUGAUCGAACUAAAAUGUGUGACGACCUUGUGCAUCUAUAUCAAAAAGAGGUUUGAAACAAACUUCCAACAAGAAGGUUUGUCCCCGUGAAACUCAAGAAAGAGACUUUGUGCUCAAAAAGAUACUAUCUUUCCAACCAGACUCCAGGAGCAAGUGGACGCCUAACUAUGAAGGCUCAUGUGCAAUGAAUUUUACAACUAUGGAUGGUGACAAACUUGCACUUCCUAUGAAUGUCGGUGUAGUCAAGAAAUACUCUGUCAAAUAUAAAAGCUCGAUAAGUCGCAAACCUGAAAAGGCGGCUUAGGCAAAAAUGAGCGUCUCGGUGGACUGAAAACCCAAAAGGGUGGUCCAGGCAAAAGUUAGAGACAUGAACAAAAAAGAUUAUCCUGAUAGACCGCAAACCCGAAAAAACGAUCUAUGCAAAAGUUAAGGAUCAAAAGACAAAGUAACUGCAUCCGGUCAGGCACAGUCCACUUGGGGCAUCCAGCUAUCAAAAGACCGCCGAUACGAAGCAUCUGCAGAUCAAAGACUCGAAACAGGGGCAUUCAAAGUUGUUAGGGAGAAUAGCUGUUAUUGUUUUCAAUGUACCAUCCCAUACAUUUACCAUUUUCCAAAUCUUUCAAAGAUCCGUGGAGCCAUGCCAUUGGUAGGUCACCACUCAAUUCAUCAAAUUUGAUCCUAUGCCUAUUUGUUUGGAACUCUCAUUUAUUCUAUUUGCAAAAUUUCUUCUACUUUUUAUGGCAAUACUUAAAGCAAAAAUUUUCAAAAAAAAAAAUACAAAAACUUUUUUUUACAUCUUUUGAAAAGUGUGAACAACAAACACACUCUCUUUGAACUCAUGAGUAGAUGAAGCAUACAUCAACAUCCGCCUCGAAGACGGUUACAUUCCGAAAGAGAAACAUGGCUAAGCGUUAUGGAAAGAACCUCUGCCUUGAACAAGAUGUUGUCACAGUCAAAAAAAAUAUAUACAAAAAAAAAAAUACAAAAAAAUCAAAGCUCGCUAAGUUGAAAACCUGAAAAGGUGGCUUAAGCAAUAGAGAGCGUCCCGGUGGACUGAAAACCCGAAAGGGCGGUCCAGGAAAAAAUUAGGGGCACAAAAAAGAAUAUAAUCCCGGUGGACUGAAAAUCUGAAAGGACGGUCCAGGCAAAAGUUAGAGAUUUUUUUUUAAAAAAAUGACUGCUGAAACAUACCAAUGGAGGAACACUCUGUGCCAGUUCACAAAUGGCGACUUCUUCCAGACUUUUUAUCAACGAUGGGCUUUACCCCCAGGAGGCAUCAGUUGCUCCUUGUGUCGGGUCUUACACCGUCAACGGCUCGUUUUGUUCACAAUAAUAUCAUCUCCAAUGAAGUUUGCCGAGUGCUUGUGCUGCGAUAUCAGUUCGCCUCCAAUCUUACAUGUCCUGUCUCGUUUCAUCGAGUCACUUGUCACAUAGAGUUUAUAUAGUCAUGCAAGUUGUACAUUCAUAACAUUUGUACAUUCAUAAAAUUCGUACAUUCAUACAUUGAUGCAUACACCAUAUAUAUAUACAACAUCAUUCACACAUGAUUGCAUUAGUCACCGAGAGUCUUGUUUAGCCGUGUCUCUUUGGUUAAUCCUGACCCAAACAGCAAGUGGCAGUUUCUUCAUAUGAACAGCUUGCAAUUACAAAUUCUUUUCCUCUCAAAAGUGUCAUCCCCAAUAUAACUGACCAAGUUGUCUUCUCUAAAUUUACCUUUGUUAAGCUAUCUUUGUGUGAUAUUUAGGUAAAACUUGUCAAUCGUCUUUAUUAAGUUAUCAUUUCAUCGAUAGUUAGACGAUGUUUUUCUCUCAUUCUUACCUUUGUUAAGCUAUCUCAUCGAUAGUUAGGUAAAAGUUAUCAGUCGUCUUUUUAAAGCUAUCAUUUCAUCGAUAGUUAGACGAUGUUUUUCUCUCAUUCUUACCUUUUUUAAGCUAUCUCAUCGAUAGUUAGGUAAAAGUAUCAUUUGUCUUUGUUAAGCUAUCAUUUCAUCGGUAGUUAGACGAUGGUUUUUCUUUCAUUCUUACCUUUGUUAAGCUAUCUCAUCGAUAGUUAGGUAAAAGUAUCAUUUGUCUUUGUUAAGCUAUCAUUUCAACGGUAGUUAGACGGUGGUUUUUCUCUCAUUCUUACCUUUGUUAAGCUAUCUCGUCGAUAGUUAGGUAAAAGUAUCAUUUGUCUUUGUUAAGCUAUCAUUUCAACGGUAGUUAGACGGUGGUUUUUCUCUCAUUCUUACCUUUGUUAAACUAUCUCAUCGAUAGUUAGGUAAAAGUAUCAUUUGUCUUUGUUAAGCUAUCAUUUCAACGGUAGUUAGACGGUGGUUUUUCUCUCAUUCUUACCUUUGUUAAGCUAUCUCAUCGAUAGUUAGGUAAAAGUAUCAUUUGUCUUUGUUAAGCUAUCAUUUCAACGGUAGUUAGACGAUGGUUUUUCUCUCAUUCUUACCUUUGUUAAGCUAUCUCAUCGAUAGUUAGGUAAAAGUAUCAUUUGUCUUUGUUAAGCUAUCAUUUCAACGAUAGUUAGACGAUGGUUUUUCUCUCAUUCUUACCUUUGUUAAGAUAUCUCAUCGAUAGUUAGGUAAAAGUAUCAUUUGUCUUUGUUAAGCUAUCAUUUCAACGAUAGUUAGACGAUGGUUUUUCUCUCAUUCUUACGUUUGUUAAGCUAUCUCGUCGAUAGUUAGGUAAAAAUAUCAAUCGUCUCUGUUAACCUAUCAAUACGAUAGUAGACAAUAAUUUUCCCCAGUGAAACUUCAUUCCCCUAGCAGAGUCGGACCCCUUUUUUCUUCAACGAAUUCGGGUAUCCCGUUGUUAUUUCUCAUUCGAGUCAAAUCAUCCUGCAUUCAUAAAUUGCAUCACAUGCAUCCAUAGCAUCUUAGGUCAAAUAUUGUGUACUUUGUAUUUAAGUCUCUUCGACUCGUCAAAUCAAAGAUUUCAUCUUCAAAUCUCCGGACGAAGAAACUUAAAUAGGGGCAUCUGUCAUACCCCAAUUUUUGACCUAAGGCCUCACGGACACAUGUCACUUGACUCUGAUCGAUCUCUGAUUUUUCAGUGAAAAAAUUCGGCAGGGAGGUAUUUUAAAAUACCUCAUUUUUGAUUCCGAGUCGGACCCUCUUUUCUCUUUUUAUUUUCUUUCCAUCUUUUAUUAAUUUUAAUUUUAAGAUUAGUUACUUUUUUUAUAUUUAAUAAUUUUUAUUUUUCAUCUUUUAAUUUUAUUUUUCUUUACAUAAUUUAGUUUAAUUUGUUUUUAUUUUAUUUCGUAUUAGAUUUAUUUUUAUUUUAUUUUUAUUUUUCUUUUUAAUUAAUUAGUGUCCAAAAAAAAAAACAAAGUGUCAAUAGGUCCAAAAUAAAAUGUACAAGGUCUAAAAAAAUUCAAGUCAAGUGUCAACUUUAACAUUCCUUUUUCAAAAUUCACCAUAAUUGUCCAUCAUUUCCAUUAAAUCAAUUUUCCAUUUUUCAUCAACCUCCUCACCUAUAAAUAGAGCCCUCAUUCCACACAAUUUCACACACCAAAAGUUCUCUUGAGUUGUCAAAGAACUUUUCUCUCUUCUCCCUCUUUAGCUUGUGUUGACGAGCUAUUCUUUUCUUCUCCCUCUUUUUUCUGUCCCUUCGGAAUAAGUCCCUUCGGUAAUUUUUGUCCAUUCGGUUGUCAAUUUCUUUUAUUUUCUUGAAUUUUAUUUCUUUUUAGUAUUUUUGCAUUUUUUUUUAUUUCUAUUUAGCAUUUUAAUUAUUUUUAUUUAUUUUCCAGCAAUUAGAAUGUAUUUAGGUCCAAUGUAAAUAUAAAUGAGAAAAGUGUGUGGGUGUGUGUGUCCUUUUAUUUCUUUACCGCCUUAUAUAUAUCCAAAAAUGCAAAAAAAAAAAAAUUAGAUUAGGGAUUUUGUGGUGAUCCAACGUCACUACAAAAAUCCACGCGCAUUUAUUUUUAUUGCUCCGUUAGUUUAAUUUUUAUUUAAUAUUCCAAAAAAACAACAAGAAAACAUGCAAAUAAUCAAAAUCACAAAAAUAUUUUCAUAAUAAACCUUGAUCCAAAUCAAGUGACCGCAUUUUUAUUUUCUUUUCUCCAUCAAACUUCAAUCAAUUUAACUUUACUUUUAAGUCUCUUUUUUCAAUAUUAAAAAACACAAACAAAUACUCAUUUGCCACUUGGCUUUUCAUUUUAAAACCUUUUUCAAAACUAAUAAAAAACACUCAACAAAUCAAACGUCAAUUUCUACCCCGAACUACGAGGUUUUGAUCCCUCACGGGUACGUAGGCAGAGGACCAUGUCCUUCCAAAUCAAUAAAAAAUGUAGAUAAUUAGGUCUUUAUUUUUAUCAGUUUAAUUCAUUCUUUUCAAAAAUAAUAAGCAAGUUAUAGCAUAUUAAUUAAAUAAAAUCAAGAGGUUCUCGUAGAGUACUACGAAUAUUUAGGGUGCUAAUACCUUCCCUAAAUAUAACCAACCCCUGUCAUACCCCAAUUUUGGACCGUUUAAAAACUCUUGUCCGUAUUUUAAAUUUGUUCACAUUCCCAUUUAUUCGUUGUUUUUUACCAUUUAAAGUUCGUAUUUCUUGUCUUUAGUCAUUCAAAAAAGUUUUUUUACGUUAAAUCAACGUUCGCGUUUCACAACGUUUAAAACCGUCUCACUUUCAUUUUUACGUCGCAUAGUCUUUUUUUUAAUCGUAACGAUCACGUCAAAAAAAGAGAAGGCCUAAUCGCUUUUUUUAAAAGGCGUUUUUUCUUAUUAAUCAUUUCAAUCGAAAUUUCGGCAGGGAGGAUACUUUGAAAUACCUCAUGUCAGAUUCCGAAGGGACUUUUUAUUUUUAUUUUUUUGUCUUUUUUAGUUUGUUUAUUAUUAUUUUAUUUUAUUAUUAUUAUUUUUUUUAUAAAAAAAAACAAAACAAAGAAAAGAAGAAGACAUACGUCUUCCCUUUCUUCUUUUUCUUUUUCUUUUCUUUUUCUUUUUAUUCAUUCUUUUUAUUUUUAUUUAUUUAUUUGUUAAGCCUUUGUCCCCAAGUCUCAGCUGCAGGGGCAUUUUGGUCAUUUGUUUGUACCAGAGCCAACCCUAAUUUGUCACUAUAAAAGCCUGUCAAUCAUUGGGAAAUGGGCCAGAGAAAAAAUUACUGUUCAUGAGUCAGAGAAAAACACUAUUCACGUCAGAAAAAGUCAGUCAACAGCAAUCAUACUCACAAACAAUCUCCAAACUUCUCUCUCCAAAAUUUUGGAUCAAAAACCCAAAAUUUCAUGAACUCACAUGAACCACAUCAAGAACACAUGAACCUCAAUCAUUUUCAGAAACACACAAUAACAACAUAAACACCUCAAACCAUUCAUACAACCACAAAUCAUCAUCAUUCCAAACAAAACAAAUCCGAACCAAAACAGAGCCAAACGAACCGGAGUAGAGGAGAGCCAACCGAACCGGAAAAGAACCGGAGCCGAACCGGAAACAAGGAAGAACACGCGAACCGGAAGAAGGAAGAAAAGGAGAGAACCGGACUCAAACUAGGAGGAAAGGAAACCGGAAAAAGAGGUAAAAAUUUCACGUUUUUCAUUUGUAGAUCUAGGAUUUUUGGUGUAUGUUUUCGAAAUUUUGAGCUUGGAUUUGUGUAGAGGAAGGGAAGAGGAGUAUUUUGAUGUAAAAAAAAAUUUCAAAAAAAGCAAAAAAAACUCCGGCGCGGCGGCGCUCCGGCCGACCGCCGCGCCGGAGCAGCUCCGGCCGCCCCUCUUCUUCUUCUCCGGCCGCGUGUGUUUUUGUGGGAGGGGAGAGCUUCUCUCUCUAAGUUGUAACUUAGAGAGAGAAAGUUUUUGUGUUAUAUUUGUUUUUUUGGUAAAACCCCUUUAUAUAGCCUCAUUACUUUAUUUUAAUUCCAUGCGUAUCGUUCCACUGUAUUAUCGUGUAUGAUCACAGCUAGACCGUCAGAUUGUAGAUCUAACGGUCGAUGAUGCAGCUUGUUUUUGGUUAAGUGUUUGUUCUUUUGGGUGGAAUAUUGUGUGCCUGCUGUUGAACCGUCAGAUCGUUGAUCUGACGGUCACUGUGCUUCCAGUAUAUCCUUCCUUUCUUGCUGUUUAUUUUUAAACCGUUGGAUCUUAGAUCCAAUGGCUAUGAUGAAUCCAGGGGUUUGAACUUGGACCAUUGAUUUAAUCCAAUGGUUCAGAAUUAAUCCUGCUGAGCCAAUUUGUUUAUUAUUUUCAUUUGUUAUUGUUUCUAUUUUUUAAAUGCUGUUUUUUUUUAUUUCUUUUUGACAUUUUAUGUUUAGAAAAAAAUUCCAAAAAAAUGUUUUUUUCUCACUAUUUUAAUUUUCUAUCAUUGUUAAAAAUCCAUCCUAUUUUUUUCUUUUAAUUUGUUUUUUUUUACUUAUUAUUUAUUAUUUCUUAUAUGAUGAUCUUAAAUGUUUUUUUUUAUUAUUUUUAUUUCUUGCUUAUUAUUUCUUAUGUCUCAUUCAUCAUAAUAUUUCUUGUGAUCACUAACCAUUUAAUUUUUGUCUUAGAUCAUAGCAUGCAUAUUAAAUUUUCUCAUCAUUUUAUCUUGUCAUUGGAUUAGUAUGUAUAAAUAGGGAAUUGAUGUAAUUUUAUUUCUUGCAUUUUAUUUUGGCAUAAAGGCCUUAGGGUUGUAUUUAGGAAUUGAUGUAAUAAUGUAGGUAACACAAGCACCGACACAUACACCGACACUACCACAUUUUAUUUACCGCUUUCCGUUAUUUUUUUUUUACGACGUUACGUUAGUUCUCACUGUUAGUUUAGAAAAAAUCAUUUUCACAAAAAAAUCAAAUAUGUCAAAUUCAAAAAUAUUUUUUCUUAGCAACAUUUUCCCUUUAUUUUCUUAAUCAAAUUUUUAAUCAAUUUUAAUUCAACUUCAAUCAUUUUCAAAAAUUUAAAAUCAAUCAACCUCACUCAUUUCUUUUAUCUCAUGCCUUGAGGCCUCUUUCUCUUCUUAAAACCAUUUUCAAAAAUCUUAAAAUCAACCUAACCCACCAAAGAAAUUUUUGAGUGGAACUACGUCGGUUUUGAUCCCUUUCUCAAAAGGGUACGUAGGCAGAGGACUCGUCCUUCCAAAUCAAAUAAAAAUAAACCAAAAACAUACUUCUUCUCCCUCCAUUCUUUCACUUAGACAUUAGGCAAUAAUUUUUCAAAUGAACAAGUAUUUUAGCACAAGAUAAUCUAGGUAAGAGGUUCCUACGGAAUACCGUAGAUGCUUAGGAUGCUAGCACCUUCCCUUCGCAUAACCAACCCCCGAAUCCAAAGUCUCGAAAAGGGUUUUUACUCAUUUUUUCCCUUCCCAAGAAUAAAAAUCGAGAGUUCAAAGAUUGACGAUUCAAAUCAAUUAAUGGUUUGAUAUCCAAAAAUCGCGAGCACAGAAAUGGCGACUUACCCCCGAACCCUAAAUCUCUCAAUAUGGGGUGUUUUGAACUUUUUUCACCUUUUUCUUAAAAAAUAAAAUGUUCAGUCGUGAAAUAAUUAGCGAGUCAAAAAUCUAAUCAAAUAGCCUUGAUCUCUGAAAAAUGACGCGACACGUAUUAAUCAAAACUUUGUAGCAGAAUUAAUUCAACGACAAUAAAAGCUCUAACAACAUGUUUCAAAAUUGAUACAUAAAGGAAUGAUAAACAUCGUAACAAUUUCCCAUCCUGUUACGUAUCAGAGCCCUAAGACACUUGAGCCACCUCUCCUACUAAGCUUCAUUACCUGCAAGUUACCCAUACGAAGGGCAACAUUUUCAAGCAGAAGGGGUGAGAUCUCUCAAACAAUAAUAAUAAGCAUAUAAUUCAUCAAUUACAGUUAACAACAUAGACAUCAUCAAAUCCACCCAAUAAUAAUUUUUCUUAACAUCCCCUUAGUACUCAUGAAUAGAAGACAACUUAGCCACUAUGCAUCAACGUUAUCAAUUCAUAACAAUAAUUAUUCAUCAACCAUCUCAUUAGCAAAACAUGAAUAAGGAACAACUUAUCAACUUAACAUAAUCAUCAUUAAGUACAUUUAACAACUCAUAGAUAACAUCAUGUAACAUCAAAACAGCCUCUCAUUCAACACUAUAAACAAUCAUCAUAACAUCGUCAUAAUCAUCAACAUAAACAACGUAAGAGUACACCACCUCUUAUAAACAACAACGUAAGAGUACACCAUCUCUUAUAAAACGACCAAGUAAGAGUACACCACCUCUUAUAAAAAAAACGACAAAGUAAGAGUACACCACCUCUUAUAAAACGACCAAGUAAGAGUACACCACCUCUUAUAAAAAAAAACGACAAAGUAAGAGUACACCACUUCUUAUAAAACGACCAAGUAAGAGUAGUACACCACCUCUUAUAAACAACAAUGUAAGAGUACACCACCUCUUAUAAACAACAAUGUAAGAGUACACCACCUCUUAUAAAACACCUGACAUAAACAAUCACCAACGAUGGCUACAACUACGACAUCAACAACAACACCAACGAUGAUGACAACAUCGACAAUUUGCAUAACAUACUUAUGACUUAUUCGGCAACGUACAACCCAACAACGCUUACAACUUAUACCAACAUUAGAUCUUCAUGAUAUUAAUAUGUCACAACCGCAAGACAACACCAUUAAAUAAUAUGCAGCAAGUCAACAUUAAUAAUAAUCAUCAUAUAUAACAAUUACAAUUUCAUAUCAACGUCUUUCACAAUAUAUAAAUAUUUUCACAUUUAAUCAUCAAAGUAAAUCAUCAUUAUUAAUCAUCUUGUUCAUCCUCUCUGAACCUCAUUAUAAUCAUUAACAACUUCAUUCCAACCCCAAGGGUCGACUCACAACAUAAGUUACAUACUCUUAAACACCCUAAUUGAACUCAUAGUACUUCUAGUUUUGAGCUUUGGAAUUAUCCCAUAAGUUUUGGAUUAACUUAGAAACGGUUAUACUGAAUUUUCAUAAGAUUUCACUAAGACCUCCUUGGAGUAUUUUCAUCAUAUCUCAAAAACAAAAAAUCAUUUUCAAGUGAAACCAAAGCCAUUGGAAAGCUAACAAAAUUAUCUACAACUUUCAUGUUUACACCAAAGGUCAACUCAAAACAGAAACGUGUGAAAAAGACGGAAGAACAUGAAACAGGGUAAGCAUCAGACAUACUGAAAUUUACAGAUUUUCUGUCAAAAUCGCCUCACGAUCACUGGGAUCGCCUCACGAUUUUGACAGCAUCAUACAUGCUGAUAUUACAGAUUUUUCUGCGAUUUUCUACCAUGGGAGCCUCCUUGACUCCGUUUUUUAACCCUAAACUCUCCAAAAUCAUCCAUAAUCAUCACCAUAUGAUUACCCUAUCAUUGAAACGUUAAUCCAUCACUAACCUACCCGAUUAACCACUCUUUUCACCGUUCCAUUAUAUGGUUUCUACACUUUUCAUUCAAAAGUCAAUAAUCAAAACCUAAUCCCAAUUCUCAAAUUUAACCACAACCCCUUGCUAAAUCAAAAUCAGAAUUAUACAAACUAUAAUCAUUGAGAGUUAGCCUCACCCUUACCUUAGAUUGAUGAACAAAGCUCUACACGAUCUUCUCUUGGAUACUAUUGGCUCCCUCUUGGUUUUUCUCCCAAAAAGCUGCUUCCACGUGAAAAUGUUUUCUGACUUCCCUCUUUUCUUUUCUAAACCUAAUUCAACUUCUUCUAUUUCCGCUUAAUCCCACACAACUCUCCUUAUUUCUAAAUCAGCCCCUUGAACUCCAAAUAUUCUAAAUUCCCACUUAUUCUAUUAAAUAGUAAAAUAACACAUUUAAUAAAAUAUAACACACCACAUAAUCAACAAUAAUUAUUUAAAAUCAUAUAUAAAAAGACUUUAAAUCAACCAAUAAUAAUUAAAUAAAAUUGGGUCGUUACAGGAAUCCCAUAACUUCGUGACGUCGACAUUCUUUACACUUAAUUAUCAAUCAAUCAACACAUUAGAUGUCUUCUCUUAAAGUAUGAUUAAAGAAAACCAACCAAAAAAGACAAAUGGACUUCCUAAUGAGGGAAUAUAAGUUGCAUGAGGAUGGAAAUCCUUAUGAUGGAAAUCAGUGAUCAAGUCUAACGCUGACUUAGUUAUUCUUAUACUAUUAAAAUAAGUAUACAGUUACAAUGAAAAAAGAUAAAAUAUAAUGACUAAAAAAUACAUGAAAUUAACAUAUUUGUAAUAUAAAACUAUUAAUAGGGCAUGAUAUUUAACAAUAAGGAAAAAUCAAUCCUUCAACUUCCGGAUAAACUUAAGUUGUUUUCUUUUUGGUGGUUGAAGGCAAAUUUAUAUGCUAAUUUUAUUUUAGGUUAUCAUAGUUGAUGGAUUUUCUCUUUUGUUUGCUUGGGUAAUGGUUAAUUUCUUUAUGUUUUGUUUUGAUAGGAAAAUGUUUGUUUUGGUAGUAAUAUGUUUUAUUUUUCCUUGUUUAAAAAGAGAUAUAGUAUGAAAUAUAAAUAAUUAGUGAUAAAAUAUAAUAUUUUGGUUCGAUUUACAGGUGAUUUGUUUUAAAUGAUCUGAAAACGAUAUUCAAACAAUAGUGAUCAAAUUUGAUUAGUGUGUGUGAUUCAGGUUAUACAUACAUGAGCAUAAAAAACACCAAUUUAGUUUAUUUGCAUUGAAUGUUUGCAUUCUACGAGUUAUUGGUUUGAUUCUUACACCUCAUCAUAAACAAUAUAGCAUAUAAUAUUUAUUUAUUUUCCUCUUUGUAUUAAAGGGUAUACAAAACAUUUUUCAAAUGAGAUAACAAGAUUUUAGUUUUCAAAUGAAUGGUUGAUUCCAUAUUUAGAGAAGGGGCUAGUUGUUGCCCAUGUAAUUAAUAACACAAGGAAGUGAGAAGAAUUCACAGAACACUUGGAUAGGUCAUUUUCUUUCCAAAAAAAAAAAAAACUAGGAUAGGACGUUUGGUGCCCCCAUUCAAUUAAUUCAUUUCACACCGACACUUUGACAAUAUAUAUGCAUUCGAUUUUUUAUUUUAUUUUUUAUGAUUAAAAUCGACAUUGUUUUUUGGUGAGAUUUGCAAGUGGCACGCCACGUAAUUGUACAAGUUCCACAUGCAUUUGACUUUAGCAAACAUUAUCAAUCUUAGAUUAGAUCACGUGUUUGUUCUCAUUAGUUUGAUACUCCAUAAUUUAGAAUAUGUUUUUGUGGUGCAGUAUCUGUUUAGGAGGAAAUGAAUUAAGUGAAAAUCUCUCUUUAAGAUGUAAUAAUAAUUGAGAAAAACUGAAAUUGUUUCAAUUGAGAUUCAUUUCUCCAUUAUGAUGGUUGUAACUUGUAAUUUUUUUUUUUUUUUUGGGUAAAAUAUGUUUUUAAUUCAUAUAAAAAUACGAGAUUUCAAUUUUAGUCCUGCAUAAUUUUAAUAGUAAUUUUAAUCCGUACCGAAAUGAUUGUUAAGAUAAUUGGUCCUUCAUGUCAAAUGGGUUGCUAAUUGAGCUAAACGAAUCAUGACUAGAUACGCCAUGCAAUCAUUUUGAUUGACGUAAGUUGCUGACUCUUGGUUGUAAGAAAAACAUCAAAGGAGGUUGAAUUGUGUAGUAUUUCUUAGAAAUUUUAAGUUAAAAACCAUUCAUAGAAUUUUUACCAAAAAAAAAUCAAUCAUAGAAUGCAAAAGAUAAUCAGAGAUAAGAGAAAAGAAUGACACAUAUUUUCCCCGGUUCAUCCCACAAUUUGGGAUUACGUUAUGUCCCCUCACACAACAGAGAUUUUUUUUUCUCUCACUAUAAUCACAUAAGAUUACAAUUACUUGGACACACAAAUCUAAGAUUUCAUGUCUUACCUUGAGGACUUCUAAAUUUAGAAUUUACAAAUAAGAUUGAUAGUUAUUUACACUUUAGACUCAAAGAGCGGUGAAUGUGCCUUUUUUUUUUACAUUUUAUAUAUUCAAAAAAUCAGUUAGUUCGUUCGACUCACAAAUACAUAUCAACUAAACUCUCUUGUAAGGACUUGAAUCGAGUCCUAGAUUGCUCUUCAAGUCCAUUUGUUUGUGUUUUUGUACGAACAAUGGGGAUUUACCGCAAAAUCAGGGAGUGUUACUCAUUUGUGGUUGGUCGUACACUCCUUCUUCUGCACCUUCUUUAAUAUGCAUGGGAGGGGGUGCUUGCGUAAGAUACUUUGAUGCUCAAGUCAGACGAGGUACAAACCAAGAGCAUACAUGCAUUGUAUAUGAGUAUGAGUGUGAUAAAAUUGGAAUGAUAUGAAGUUCAUCGUACCAAGGGCAGGUGCCCCCUAUUUAUAAUGGUUGAUAUGAUGAUAGACUCCUUGUUGGUUGCAAUCUAAUUUCCUUAUCUUCAAGAUGGUUUGUUACGAGGCUAAUUUGGAUAUCAUAGUAACGAACCUCCCAGAAUCUUGUAAUUACGAGUGACACAUGUAUAUCCGAGUGUAACAUAAUCCGAGGUAGAUGUGCUCAUCUAUGCAGUUUAGAUAAGGUACGAAUAUAUAGGAUCGAUCUCGUAGCUAACUAAAUGUUUUUUAUUCUUAGAGGAGCUAAAGCGUGUAUAGGCGCUUAUGUCGGUCUAUCAAGUGGCUCUUUUUUAUCUCGUGGAAGUGUUGAUGUGUAUCAGACAUCAUUCCGAGGUGUUAGUUAUGACAAGGUGGUAUGAGAGAUUAAGUCAUAUUUUAUGCCACAUGUCACAUUUAGGUGGUAAUCUUGAUAUUCUUUGACUUGGUCCAUUUGUUAGAUCUUCCUAUGUUAUUCUUGAAGAGCUAAUUUGCUUGGACUCCUUAACGAAUGACUAGCCUGGCCUAAUUUGCUUGGAUUCCUUAAUGAAUGACUGGCUUGGACCUUUUAGGCCCAUACUGGUACAUUAUCCCCCUAGCCCUUGGUCAUGCAGUGGACAAUUGGUCUAAGAGUAUUGAAGUGAAAAUUUUUGAAUUUUAUCCGAUGUAGAUAUAUUUGAUUUUUUUGAUGAUACGAUUUUAGUUUAAACCCGAUUUAGAACUCGAUUUACAGAUGGUAUACCCCAUGACUUGCAACUUAGAGGUGAGGUGAAAGUCUAAAGGAUUUUUCAUAUGAUACUCAAUGGUUUUCUUUGCCUCAUUUCUUGAGCAUUAUGACGUGUAUUCGAAGCACGACGUGACAAUGAGACAAUUGCUUUUUUAUGGGUGCAAUUUGAUAUGUUAGAUUUGUUAAUGGAAAGUUGUAUCGUUUGAUCGUACUUGAUGAAACAUUUCCAAUCAUUGAUGAACGGUUCCAUCCAAUUUGAAUACUUGCUACUUUCUCCCCCACCACCACCACAACUUGAUUUAAGUCAUGAAGUGCUUUUGCGACUCAUAUUUCCUUAUGUUUCAAAUUUUUCAUUCAUCCCUCCAGCUGAGCUCCGUUCUUGCUUUCUCUUUAUGUUUAAACAAUGUUUGUACAAAAGCGCUUUGAUUGAUGCACUCUUCUUUGAGAAUUGGAAUGAAUUUUUGUCUGAUCCUAAUGGGUGGCACCGUUAGAGUGUUUAAGGAGAGGUUACUGUUUUUUUUUUUUUUUUGCUAAUUAGUUAUCAACAAAAAAAUUCACAUACCCUAGAUUCUUAAAACUCAUUCAACAUAUCAUUUUAUCUAUAUGUGUAUCAUCAUAUCAUUUCAUUAAUCUAUCACAUCACUCUCAAUUGUCUCUUUCACUCUUUUGGGAUGUACGUCAACUAUUAGAGUGUCCAUCAAACAUUAUUGCUUACUUAUUUGUAUAUGGAUACUCCUUUCAUAAUAAUAAUAAUAAUUAAUAAUAAUAAAGACUUUUUUCAUCAUGUGCAAAAUUGCACAUAUUAAAAUAUUUAAAAUAGAAAUUUUGUAUUGAAACUUAUACGUUUAAUAUUAAAUAUAAUUUUUUGAAUAAUAAUAUACGUUGCUCUAAAAAAGAAUGCGAAAGCAUAAAUAAAUAAAAAAACUCAAAUGGAAACAUCAACGGGUCCCAUUAAGCUCCUUAUAAUAAACGGUAGUUUUGAUGGGAUCCGAACAACCAUUAAUGCAUGCAUAUAUAUGUAGGAGUAUAUGGUAAUUGAAUGAACUUAAAAAAUCAAUUUUACUUAUAUUUAAAAAUGAAGGGAGUACCUUCAAACAUUUUAAUGCGCCUACUUAAAUCACAAGCUUGUGUUACCAAACUCGACAGUAUAUGGUAAUUCUUGCCUAUCAAAAAGGUGUGUAUAGUUCAUGCUAAGUUGGUAUCAACGGAAAUCAUUUGAAACUUUAGAGACAUUGUUUUAAAACCCACUCUGAUUCAUCAAUUCAUACUUUUUUAAUUUAAAGUAUCAUAUGUUUAUUUAAAAAAAAAAUCAUGAAAUAAAAAAAAAAAAAAAACAUAAUUCUCGAAUCCCUAAUUCCCAAUUUCUUCUACCUAAUUCCAUGAACAAUAUGAGAGUAUCACAGCACAUAUAUGAGUUUGAUUAAUUUUUCACAAUACUGGGUGUGAGGAAUUUUUCAAGCACUACCGACAAAAGAAAUAGAGAUCACUUCGUCGUUACUUUGCACAACAAUGUCUUAAUCAUUCUAGCAAAACACUCUUCAUCGCUCUCCGAUGCUACACCAACACCAUUGUGAAGGUCAAAAAAAAUUCCAAAACCCAAAUUCUACAAUUAAAAUCAUAAGAGAAUCAUUUUCUACCAAAAUCAUAACUGCUUCCAAUAACUUGAAAUUAAUCUCUAAAGCUUGAGCAUGAUGACACAAAUGGUUCAUCGUCGAGAAUAAGCUUUUAUAAUAUAACGAAACAGUUAGAAAUCUCUCUCUCUCUCUCUCUCUCUCUCUCUCUCUCUCUCAAAUUUCGGCAUGUUCAUGGAAAAGUGAUGUUUGUCAUUAGAAAGUGUACUAAAUUGUCGUUAAGUAGUAAAAUUUAUAAGUUAGUAUCGAUGUAGAUUGUGAAAUCUCAAUUUAACUACUACAAUAAUAGUUUGGAUAUAUACAAUUGGGGGGUGUUUCACUUGGCAAUGGUUGGAUUAACUGUUCUUUAAAGAAAUAGGUAAGACACUGAUUAGGUCAUGAUAGAUCUGCUUCUCUUAAUUACAUAGAAACUCACCCCCUUGAUUGCAAUUGUUCCAAUAGUUUAGUUUCACGACAUUUGAUCAAAAUAGUUAAGUUAAUUUCUAGAUCACUAAUCUUUUUCUCUUGUUACGACCCCCUAAUGUCUUAUAUGAAACUAUAUCAAUUGAAGGCUUGAUUGUAUGCCAAAUUAUUAUCACAAAGCAGUUAGCUCAAGCCCCAAAGCUAAGGUUAAUGGUCAUCGAGACCAAAAUCAGUUUAUAAACAUUCAUAAUCGGAUAAAAAAGCAUUAAAAACAAUUAUAACUGAAAGCCAAAGAGAAAGACACAUAAGCAUCCAGACAAGCCCCCCACACAGCAACUACCGGCUCAAGUAGAGAAUUGCUUCCACCACUCACUCAUAGUGAGAGCAAGGCGAACCAAGGUGGGACUUAUAAAAAAAAAGAACCAAUAACACAAAGAGAACUGGGUCUUCAGAACCAAUUCCUCCACAUCUAAAAUCUUACCGACAAACACAAAAUCAUUAAUGUAACAUGUGUCACAUUGCGUGAAUUUUGUAAAUUUUAAAUACUAAUUUUGCUUUCUACUCAUAAAAAUUGUGAACUUUAACCGAAAAAUUAUGAUAUAUUAAAAAUAUGUAUUAAGAACAGGGCCGACCCAAGCUAUAGGCAAACCAGGCAUUUGCUUAAGGCCUUGAUUUUUUAUUUUUUUUUUACCUAUUAUGCAUGGUACUUUUUUUUUUUUAGCGAAUCUCAUAUUUAUUUAUGGAAAUAAAAAAUUUAAGAGAAAUAAUACAAGUUGUCGAAUGAUAUAGCAAUUGAUUUGCUUAAUUUUAUAGAAAGACUUGGUUUUUUUCCAGAUGUGUAUAUUGGUUAUAGAAUAUAAUGUUAACAAUUCAUAUAAUUGUUGUGUCUGCAAAUUUGAAUUUGUUUUAUUGUUGAUUCAAAAAGAAAUGUUAAACUAAACCGAUUAUAAUAAUUUUGCAUCCAAAAAAAUAGAAAUCACUUUGAAUAAAAAUAUAAUUUUUGUAAAAUAAAUAUAUAAUUAAUAAUUUCUUUUUUGUACAAACUAGUAAUAACUUAAAAUGCUUCAAUUUAGAUUUCGCGUUGAGCAUCAAUAUGUGUUGGAACGGUCCUGAUUAAAAAAGUUUUAUGCUAUGUAUUUUUUUUACCAGUGAAUUAUAGAAAUCUCAUCCAUAAAUUUAAAAAGAGAGGUAAUAAGACAAGAUAACACAUUCAUCAUUUUUUGGAAAAGCUUAUCAUCAUUACAAAUACAUAGUCUGAUGCAAAUUUAUACAUGAUUUCUCCCGAAGAAAUAUCUAUCUAUACUAUAUAGUGGCAAGAUAGAUAAAUACACCAUUAUAUCAACACACAACAUUAUUUUUAUUCAUGAAAUAUAUUACUGAGAAAGAGUGCAUGGUGCAUGAAGAUAGAUAUCAUUAUGAUCAGUUUUGAGUUUUGUCCUCAGUUUGCUCGGCACCGUGACUACCGUGUCCACCUCCACCAUGGUUGUAACCACCUCAACCGUGGUGGUAACUACCUCGUCCAUGGUUGUAACUAGCUCCACCUUUGUUGAAACUACCACCUCCACCACCAUUUCUGGCAUCAUUUACUUCAUUAGUCUUUUCCUCAGUUUGCACGGCAACAGAUUCAGCAGCACCGCGACCACCAUGACCUCCUCCACGAUUGUAACCACCGUGACCUCCGUGGCCUCCACCACCAUUGUAACCACCUCCACCGUUGUGGUAACCACCUCCACCGUUGUGGUAACCACCACCGUUGUGGUAACCACCACCGUGGUUAUAACCUCCACCAUUGUAACCACCACCGUGGUUAUAACCACCAUGGUUGUAGCCUCCAUAUUUGGCAUCGUUUACUUCAUUAGUCUUUUCUACAACUUCUGCAAACACAAUAUAUAUGAAUCAUUACUUUAUUUAUAAUUAACUAGAAAAGAAUUUAAAAAAUAUAGAAAAUGCUUGUGAAAGUAUUUAUAAAGAAAAAUAAUAUAUAGCUCACCCUUUUUGGCAUCAGUGGAAGUUUCAGUUAAGUCCCUUGCGGACAUCACUGAGGAAAUAAGAGCCAUAGCCAAGAGGCCUAGCAUGAGGAUUGCCUUUUUUGAAUCCAUUGUUCAAACUUUAUUCAAAUGUGAUAUUUAGUAGUGAACUAUGAUAAAACUAAGUAAGAAGUGUGCUCUAUAUAUAAUGGAGGAGUGAAGUAGGGGACCUUUACUUGGUAGUUGAGAUGGUAGCUAGUGUGUAUUAAUUCAUUACUUUUUAGAUUCUCAAUGUAUCUAGUUUAUAUUAUAAACUAUAUACAUCUUUUAUACAAUUAAUCAAAAAAAAUGAAAUUUUAUUUAUAAUAGUGAUCGAAUAGUGUAUAUAUCUAUAAAUUUUAAACUAAUAUAGUUGUUUGAUGAUUUCGAUACCAUUUAUUUUGACUACUUCCUUCGAUCCAAAAUAAAUGAUCUUGUCGAUUGUUUUAAGCAUAUCAAUGCACAUCUUUGAUCUUUAAUACUCUCUUCAUCCUAGAUAAACUGAGUCAGUUGCUCAUUUCACACAUAUUAAGAAAAAUGUAUAAAUGAAGGAGAUAAAAAAAUGAUUAUAAGUGUUUUUGUUAUGUAUUGGUGCAUUCUCCACUAUCAUAAAUGCAAAGUAUAAUAUAUUGAAUUAAAAGUGAUGAAAGUAGUAUUAAUUAGAAUUAUAAUUAGAAGAAAAAAAAUAAUUAAUAUUGUAUUGAAAAAUGAAAUGAAUCAAUUAUUUUAAGACAAUAUUUUUUUACAAAAAGUUCAGUCAUUAUGAGACGGAGGAAGUAUUAUUUAUUUAUGUAUUAACAAAAAAUAUAAAAAGAAAUUGAUAUUUUAAAAAUAUUCAUUGAGACAAAUAAAAAAAUAUCUUAUAUAUUAUCAUUUGUCUUUAUAUAAUAGUAAAAAAAAAAAAAAAAAAAAAAAAAAAAAAAAAAAAACUAACAUAUACUAAGUGAAUAAUAGACAUAGUCAAAUAAUUUCAUAAUUGAGAGAGUUGUAAAGAUCGAAGGCUAUGAAAAUGGUGAUGAGUUAGGUCUACUUGCUAUUGGCUGAAAGUGACGUUUUGAAAGCAUGCUAUUGGUUCGUACUAACUAUCUCAUCCCAUGGAGAUACAUACAUUCAAACUUAUCCAAACAAAUUCAAAAUAUGUUUUCUAUAACUAAACAAAAUUAGCAAAAGAGUAUUACAGAGGUCACUCUAAACUUUUUAAAGAACAGUGUUGUUGAAUACCACUCCUUUCAAUUAGAUACAUAUCACAUUUUAUUGAUGAUAUGAAUGUUUAUUAUAAAUAAGACUAGAUGAAGUAGCCUUUAACAUCUUAUAAUUAUAUUUGCUUGAAAUGAUUACACAAAUUAAGAAACAAACUAUGUUUCUCAACCAUAGGUUCUUUAAUUACUCUAAAUAGUAAGAAAAACAUAAGUUUUUCUGAGGGGAGUAGGAAAAACAUAAGUUAAAAGCUUAAUACAGCUCAAAUUCCUAGAAUCCCUCGGCUAUGAGUGGAAAGCUUUCGUUUGGUUCGGUUUUUUACGACCAUAUAUUCAAACCAAGUAAGAAUAAUUAAUUUGUUUUAGGGAUGGCAAUUGGACUCACCUAAUGGAUACCCACAAAAAAAAUAAAAUUCACAAUGGAUAGGGUAAAACUCCGCUUUCUUGGGUAUGGACACGGGUCCGGGUAAUACCCACAAAUUGUUAUCAAUAUGGGCACGGGUAAAAGUACUAUACUACCCAGCCCCACAACCCCGCAUAUACAUAUUUAUAUAAUAUUUUAAAUAAUUAUUUAUUUUUGGUGUAUAAUUAAUUAAUUUAUUUUGCUAUUUAAGCCUAAACUCAAACCUAAAUAAAAAAACUACUUAAUACAAUAACAACUUCAUCUUGCCGAUGUACAAUUGUUUAGGGAUAUUUUAGAUGUUUUUUUAUUGGACCAUAGUUUUAUUUCAAUUGUGAUGUUUUUAUUCCUUUUUCAUAGCUAAAGUGCUGGUAAUGGGUGCGGGUAUGGACACUUAGGUACCCAUAGAGUAUGGGGAAGGGCACUAAAGUUGUUGCCCACAAGGGUACGGGCAUGAGUAUGGGUUUUCUUACAAAUCUGGGUAUGGGGAUGGACACUAUAGUACCCUAUCCAUUGGGUACCCAUUGCCAUCCCUAAUUUGUUUUGACUUGGAUUUUACAAUUUUGUAUUAAAUCCAAAUGAAAGUUAAGUGAUUAAAAAUGGGCUAGCUUGCCUCAAAUAAUCAGUUUGGUUGAUAUUUUAAAAUUUAAUAUUUUUUAUAAAUUUUAAAAAAUUAAGUUUUCUUUAAGAAUAUUAUAGAUUUUUUAACAUUAUUUUUUUUAUCAGAGGGAAAUCAAAGACACAAAAGAAAAAAAAACUAAAUAAUUCGUUGUCUAAACACCCCAAAGACACCACCAAGUAAGACGAGAUCCAACUCUUUAAGAGGGGACACCCAUAACUUCGUAGUGUCGACAUUCUUUACACUUAUCAAUCAAUCAACACAUUAGUUGUCUUCUCUUAAAGUAUGAUUAAAGAAAACCAACCAAAAAAGACAAAUGGACUUCCUAAUGAGGGAAUAUAAGUUGCAAGAGGGUGGAAAUCCUUAUGUUGAAAAUCAGUGAUCAAGUCUAACGCAGACUUAGUUACAAUGAAAAAAAAUAAAAUAUAAUGACUAAAAAAUACAUGAAAUUAACAUAUUUGUAAUAUAAAACUAUUAAUAGGGCAUGAUAUUUAACAAUAAGGAAAAAGCAAUCCUUCAACUUUCGGAUAAACUUAAGUUGUUUUCUUUUUGGUUGUUGAAGGCAAAUUUAUAUGCUAAUUUUGUUUUAGGUUAUCAUAGUUGGUGGAUUUUAUCUUUUGUUUGCUUGGGUAAUGGUUAAUUUCUUUAUGUUUUGUUUUGAUAGGAAGAAUGUUUGUUUUGGUAGUAAUAUGUUUUAUUUUUCCUUGUUUAAAAAGAGAUAUAGUAUGAAAUAUAAAUAAUUAGUGAUAAAAUAUAAUAUUUUGGUUCGAUUUACAGGUGAUUUGUUUUAAAUGUUCUGAAACCGAUAUUCAAACAAUAGUGAUCAAAUUUGAUUAGUGUGUGUGGUUCAGGUUAUACAUACAUGAGCAUAAAAAAACACCAAUUUAGUUUAUUUGCAUUGAAUGUUUGCAUUCUACGAGUUAUUGGUUUGAUUCUUACACCUCAUCAUAAACAAUAUAGCAUAUAAUAUUUAUUUAUUUUCCUCUUUGUAUUAAAGGGUAUACAAAACAUUUUUCAAAUGAGAUAACAAGAUUUUAGUUUUCAAAUGAAUGGUUGAUUCCAUAUUUACAAGGAAGUGAGAAGAAUUCACAGAACACUUGGAUAGGUCAUUUUCUUUCCAAAAAAAAAAAAAACUAGGAUAGGACGUUUGGUGCCCCCAUUCAAUUAAUUCAUUUCUAAAAUCGACAUUGUUUUUUGGUGAGAUUCGCAAGUGGCACGCCACGUAAUUGUACAAGUUCCACAUGCAUUUGACUUUAGCAAACAUUAUCAAUCUUGGAUUAGAUCACGUGUUUGUUCUCAUUAGUUUGAUACUCCAUAAUUUAGAAUCUGUUUCUGUGGUGCAGUAUCUGUUUAGGAGGAAAUGAAUUAAGUGAAAAUCUCUCUUUAAGAUGUAAUAAUAAUUGAGAAAAACUGAAAUUGUUUCAAUUGAGAUUCAUUUCUAAAAUAUGUUUUUAAUCAAUAUAAAAAUACGAGAUUUCAAUUUUAGUCCUGCAUAAUUUUAAUAGUAAUUUUAAUCCGUACGAAAUGAUUGUUAAGAGGUGACAACUAGGGUACCAUGAAAAAAUGGUGGGUAAUUUAUUCUAACCAAUAAAUAUUCACUUUUUAAAGUGGUAUCCAUAAACUAUCUUGACCCCACCAAUAAAUUGCUCAUUAUGAUUGGUUGGUGGAUAAAUUACCCACCAUUUUUCAAAGGUAAUCUAGAAAAAACCUUGUUAAGAUAAUUGGUCCUUCAUGUCAAAUGGGUUGCUAAUUGAGCUAAACGAAUCAUGACUAGAUACGUCAUACGAUCAUUUUGAUUGACGUACGUUGCUGACUCGUGGUUGUGAGAAAAACAUCAAAGGAGGUUGAAUUGUGUAGUAUUUCUUAAGAAUUUUUUUUAAGUUAAAAACCAUUCAUAGAAUUUUUACUAUAAAAAAAAAAAAUCAAUCAUAGAAUGCAAAAGAUGAUCAGAGAUAAGAGAAAAGAAUGACACAUAUUUUUCCUAGUUCAUCCCACAAUUUGGGAUUACGUUAUGUCCCUUCACACAAGAGAGAUUUUUUUUUCUCACUAUAAUCACAUAAGAUUGCAAUUACUUGGACACACAAAUACAUAUCAACUAAACUCUCUUGUAAGGACUUGAAUCGAGUCCUAGAUUGCUCUUCAAGUCCAUUUGUUUCUGUUUUUGUACGAACAAUGAGGAUUUACCGCAAAAUCAGGGAGUGUUACUCAUUUGUGGUUGGUCAUACACUCCUUCUUCUGCACCUUCUUUAAUAUGCAGGGGAGGGGGUGCUUCCGUAAGAUACUUUGAUGCUCAAGUCAGACGAGGUACAAACAAAGAGCAUACAUAUAUUGUAUAUGAGUAUGAGUGUGAUAAAAUUGGAAUGAUAUGAAGUUCAUCGUACCAAGGGAAGGUGCCCCCUAUUUAUAAUGGUUGAUAUGAUGACAGACUCCUUGUUGGUUGCAAUCUAAUUUCCUUAUCUUCAAGAUGGUUUGUUACGAGGCUAAUUUGGAUAUCAUAGUAACGAACUUUCCAGAAUCUUGUAAUUACGAGUGACACAUGUAUAUCCGAGUGUAACAUAAUCCGAGGUAGAUGUGCUCAUCUAUGCAGUUUAGAUAAGGUACGAAUAUAUAGGAUCGAUCUCGUAGCUAACUAAAUGUUUGUUAUGCUUAGAGGAACUAGAGCGUGUAGGCGCUUAUGUCGAUCUACCAAGUGGCUUUUUUUUAUCUUGUGGAGGUGUUGAUGUGUAUCAGACAUCAUUCCGAGGUGUUAGUUAUGACAAGGUGGUAUAAGAGAUUAGUCAUAUUUUAUGCCACAUGUCACAUUUAGGUGGUAAUCUUGAUGUUCUUUGACUUGGUCCAUUUGUUAGAUCUUCCUAUGUUAUUCCUGAAGAGCUAAUUUGCUUGGACUCCUUAAUGAAUGACUAGCCUGGCCUAAUUUGCUUGAAUUCCUUAAUGAAUGACUAGCUUGGACCUUUUAGGCCCAUACUGGUAGAUUAUCCCCCUAGCCCUUGGUCAUGCAGUGGACAAUUGGUCUAAGAGUAUUGAAGUGAAAAUUUUUGAAUUUUACCCGAUGUAGAUAUAUUUGAUUUUUUUUAUGAUACGAUUUUAGUUUAAACCCGAUUUAGAACUCGAUUUACAGAUGGUAUACCCCCUGACUUGCAACUUAGAGGUGAGGUGAAAGUCUAAAGGAUUUUUCAUAUGAUACUCAAUGGUUUGUUUUGCUUCAUUUCUUGAGCAUUAUGACAUGUAUUCGUAGCACGACGUGACAAUGAGACAAUUGCUUUUUUAGGGGUGCAAUUUGAUAUGUUAGAUUUGUUAAUGGAAAGUUGUAUCGUUUGAUCGUACGUGAUGAAACAUUUUCAAUCAUUGAUGAACGGUUCCAUCCAAUUUGAAUACUUGCUACUUUCUCCCCCACCACCACCACAACUUGAUUUAAGUCAUGAAGUGCUUUUGCGACUCAUAUUUCCUUAUGUUUCAAAUUUUUCAUUCAUCCCUCCUGCUAAGCUCCGUUCUUGCUUUCUCUUUAUGUUUAAACAAUGUUUGUACAAAAGCGCUUUGAUUGAUGCACUCUUCUUUGAGAAUUGGAAUGAAUUUUUGUCUGAUCCUAAUGGGUGGCACCGUUAGAGUGUUUAAGGAGAGGUUACUGUUUUGUUUUUGUUUUUUGCUAAUUAGUUAUCAACAAAAAAAUUCACAUACCCUAGAUUCUUAAAACUCAUUCAACAUAUCAUUUUAUCUAUAUGUGUAUCAUCAUAUCAUUUCAUUAAUAUAUCACAUCACUCUCAAUUGUCUCUUUCACUCUUUUGGGAUGUACGUCAACUAUUAGAGUGUCCAUCAAACAUUAUUGCUUACUUAUUUGUAUAUGGAUACUCCUUUCAUAAUAAUAAUAAUAAUAAUAAUAAAGACUUAUUCCAUCAUGUGCAAAAUUGCACAUAUUAAAAAGUUUAAAAUAGAAAUUUUGUAUUGAAACUUGUAUAUUUAAUAUUAAAUAUAAUUUUUUGAAUAAAUAAUAUACGUUGCUCUAAAAAAAAUGAGAAAGCAUAAAUAAAUAAAAAAAAAACUCAAAUGGAAAUAUCAACGGGUCCCAUUAAGCUCCUUAUAAUAAACGGUAGUUUGAAUGGGAUCCGAAGAACCAUUAAUGCAUGCAUAUGUAUGUAGGAGUAUAUGGUAAUUGAAUGAACUUAAAAGGUCAAUUUUGCUUAUAUUUAAAAAUGGAGGGAGUACCUUCCAACAUCUUAAUGCGCCUACUUAAGUCACAAGCUUGUGUUACCAAACUCGACAGUAUACGGUAAUUCUUGCCUAUCAAAAAGGUGUGUAUAGUUCAUGCUAAGUUGGUAUCAAUGGAAAUCAUUUGUUUGUCUCUUAAAAAAAAUACUUUAUUUUUAUUUUUAUUAUAUAUAUAUAUAUAUAUAUAUAUAUAUAUAUAUAUAUAUAUAUAUAUAUAUAUAUAUAUAUAUAUAUUAUAUAUAGAGAGAGAGAGCGCAUUGUAUUGUCCAUGUCAACUUAGAUGUGCUAAUGGUCACUGUAUAGUUUUAUAAAAGGUUUGCAUUUUUUACAAUAUUUCGAAUAGUUAGAAUACAAAUUGGAUCCACUAAAUAAAUUAUAUACACCAAUUACUAUUGUCCAUAUGAAUUUUAUACACCAACAGGUUCAACCUAUGUGUUUAAUGUGCCGUGUCUGAAUGUUUGUAAAUUUCAAGUACUAAUUUUGUUUCCCACCCAUAUAAAAAUUGUGAAUUUUAUCUAAAAAACUAAAUUAUUAAAAAUAUGUAUUAAGAAGUUUUAUGCUACAAAUUUUUUGAUCGGUCAAUUUUCUUAGAUAUCUCAUCCAUAAAUUUAAAACGAGAGAAAGUAAUAACAACGUAAUACACAUGAUAACACAUUCAUUUUUUGGAAACGCUCAUCAUCGUCACAAAAUACAUAGAUUGUUGCAAAUUUAUACAUGAUUUCCACUAAUGAAAUAUCUAUAUUACAUAUAGUGACAAGAUAGAUAAUACACAACAACUUGAAAUUGUUGUGCCUUUUUUUGAUCAACACACAACAUUAUUUAUUCAUGGAAUUUAGUACUAGAAAGAGUGCAUCAUGCAUGAUCAUAGCAUUAUGAUCAGUUUUGAGUAUUGUCCUUAGCUUGCAUGGCAACAAAUUCAGCAUGCGAGCAGCACCUGCCAUGGCAAUGGUAUUGGCAACCACCUCCACCGUGGUUGUAACCGCCUCCACCAUGGUUGUAGCCACCACCAUUGUAACCGCCUCCACCAUGGUUGUAGCCACCACCGUUGUAACCACCUCCACCAUGGUUGUAUCCACCACCAUUGUUGUAUCCACCACCACCGUGGUUGUAACCUCCACCAUUGUUGUAUCCACCCCCACCGUGGUUGUAACCUCCUCCAUUGUAACCACCACCGUGGUUGUAACCUCCACCAUUGUAACCACCACCAUAUUUGGCAUCAUUUACUUCAUUAGUCUUUUCAACAACUUCUGCAAACACAGCACACAUAUAUAUAUAAUAUAUCAUAUAUGAAAAGAAUUUAAAAAAAUAUAGAAAAUGCUCGUGAGAAUAUAUAUAUAUAAAGAAAAAUAAUAUAUAGCUGACCCUUUUUGGCAUCAGAGGUAGUUUCAGUUAAGUCCCUGGCUGAGACUUCUGAAGAAAUAAGAAGAACCAUAGCCAAGAGGCCUAGGAUGAGGAUUGCCUUUUUCGAAUCCAUUGUUCAAUAUCUGUUCAAAUGUAAUAUUUGGUAGUGAACGAUGAGAAAACUAGUAAGAAGUAUGCUCUAUAUAUAAUGGAGGGAAGGAGAGGGAGAUGUAAGGACCUUUACUUGGUAGUUGGGAAGGUAGCUAGUGAGUAUAAAUUCAAUCUUAUCUAUAAAUUUUGAAAUAUUGUUUGGUAAUUUUGAUACUAUUCAUAAUCUAUACUAUGUACAACAAAAAUGCAUGGUUUUAGGAUGAUUUUUUCACUUUCAAUUAUACUCUUACAAAAUUGCCUAUAAAAAUGUUAUAUUAUUGACGUCAUUUAAAAAUAUAUGAAUUUAUACUAUAUUUGUUAUAGGGUAAAAUAUGCUUUUCAUCCCUGCAAUUAUAGGCCGUUUGAUUUUUCAUCCCUGAGCUUACUAAUCCUCCCAUUUUGCCCUUGUAAUUACUAAUCAUUUGAAAGUUCGUCCCUCUUCCCAGAUAAUCACUGCCACAUCAUCAAAUUAGCAAAAUGGCAUGGGAAUUGACAAAAAUACCCCUGAUCUAUUUUUAAAAUUCUGAAAAUUGUUUUUAUAAAUUAAAAAAUCUGAAAAUAAUUUUAAAAAAUAAAAAAAUUAUAAAAAUAUUUUGAAAAUAACUUUUUCGAAAAAAAAUGAAAUAAUUUUUCACAUAAUUUUAAAAAAUAUAUAAUCAGAUUUUUUCGAAAUUAAUAUUCUGAAUUUUAAAAAAAUCUUUAAAAAAAAUCAGAUUUUUUAAUAAUUUUCGAAAUUAUAUAUUCAGAUUUUAAAAAAUUAUAUAAUUUUAUAUUUUUUUCAUAUUUCAAAAAAUUAUAUUUUUUUAAUUUUUUAAAAUUAUUUUCAGAUUUUUAAAUUUUUAAAAAUAAGUCAGGGGUAUUUUUGUCAAUUCCCAUGCCAUUUUGCUAAUUUGAUGACGUGGCAGUGAUUAUCCGGGGAGAGGGACGAACUUUCAAAUGAUUAGUAAUUACAGGGGCAAAAUGGGAGGAUUAGUAAGCUCAUGGAUGAAAAAUCAAACGGCCUAUAAUUGCAGGGAUGAAAAGCAUAUUUUACCCUUUGUUAUAUUAUAGGUGUCAUCGGAAAAUAAAAUUGAAGUUUAUCACAAUAUAAAAAUACAAAAUAUCUAUAAUUUUAAUUUUAAAUACAAUCAAAAUUUCAUAUAACUGUCGUUUGAAUGUCUUAACACAAUAAAAAUAGUGGACAAACUAACAUGAGAUAUCUUUCAAACGAAAGGGAAUAGUAAAAAUCGGAGGCUAUGAAAGUGAAGUAGGAUUAUAUUUGCAAUUGGCUGAAAGCGACAAACUAUUGAAAGAAUACUACUGGUGGUUCAUAACUGCUAUCUCAUCUCAUGGAGAUACAUAGAUCCCAACUAAAUAAAAGAAUUGGCAAGAGAGUACUCUCUCCGAUUUUUAUCAUAAAAAAAAAUAUUGAAAAAACAUCAAAUUCAAUGCAAUCAUUAAUUAAUGUAACUUUUUGAAUAUUUUUAAAAAAGAUGUUAUUGGUCUUUAAUUUGAGGUGGUAUGAGUAUUCUUAUCGUCCUUCGGUAGGAGCGUCAGGUUGUUUAUAAACUGUGCGGGGUUGUUUUUGUUGGAGGUGUAGUCAUCGUACAAUUUUGAGCAUGUUCUGGAUCCCAUGGUAUGUUUCUUACUAAUAAUAUAUAAUUACAAAUUUUAUUUGGCAAAUAUAUAUGAUCCAUGUGAUAAUGUAGAUAAGAAAUUUUUAUUUGACAAGUUAUUUGCAAGUCUUGGUGUAUGGGAGGGGAAGAACUUUUGUGUGUGUGGUGAUUUUAAUGUGGUUCGGUGUAUGGAAGAAAGGAAAUCAAUUAGGGAAGUAGUACAUUAUGAAGACAUUGAUCCUUUUACUAGAUUUAUUGAGGAGAAUUUCUUAGUUGGUCUCCCUCUUGGGGGUCAUGCAUAUACUCGGUAUUAGAGAGACGGUAGAAACAUGAGCCACCUGGAUAGAUUCCUGUUAUCUGGAGCUUGGUGUUUGACUUAGACUAAAUGUUUUCAGAUGGCUCAAAUUAGAGGUUAUCAGAUCAUUAUCCUAUUGUGUUGUUUCGUUGAUGACAAAAUUGGGGGCCCAAACAACCGCAUAUGUUGAAGUGUUGGUUAGAGAUUCCAAGUACUAAGUAGUUUGUUUGUGAUCAGUGGAGGUCUUUUCAGGUUGAUGGUUUGGGUGGUUACGUGCUUAAGGAGAAGUUUAAGUUGAUCAAAUCGGCGCUUAAACUAUAGAAUAAUAAUCAUGUUCAAAAUUUGUCAGGGAGGAUUUCUGCUAUUAAGGAGAGAAUAGCUUUGUUAGAUUGUAAAGGGGAAAUUGAGUUGUUUUCGGAUGCGAGUCUGAGGAGUUACGUGGGCUGAUGGGUGAUUUAUAGUUUUUAUCUCGUAUAAAUACUAGUAUUUGUUGGCAAUAAUCUAGGCUACUUUUGCUAAAAGAAAGAGAUUCGAACUAUAAGUUUUUUCAUGGCAUUACUUCUAGUCAUCAUCGGCAGGGCAAUAAUCUUAAUUCUAUUAUUGUUGAAGGCGCUCGGGUGGAAGGAGUGUCUAAUGUGUGUACUGCAAUUUUUUCUCAUUUUGUGGCUCAUUUUAAGGCGGGUAAUGUUGAUAGACCACUUGUGGAUGAUCUUCAUUUUCAUACUAUAUUGCCUAUGGAUGGAGUGAAUUUGAUUAAGGAUUUUAGUCUAGAGGAAGGGAAAGUUGCAGUCUGGGAUUGUGACAGUUUUAAAAAUUCUGGGCCCGGAUGACAUUAAUUUUAGUUUUAUAAAGGAGUUUUGGCCUGAAUUAAAAGGUGAUCUCAUGAGGUUCAUUUCAGAGUUUCACCGCAAUAUAAGAUUAACGAAAGAUAUUAAAUGUACCUUAUCUUCUCCUUUUUAUCAUCUUUAUUCACUUUGUAUUUUAAUAUCUUGUUAUUGUCUCUCUUCACUCUCACUUGGUAUGUGUAUAUAUGUUUAGAUUAACUAAUUUCUCAAUAACUUAUUAAUUUUUUUUGUUUAUGUGUUUGGUGUGAAAGAAGGACAUCAAGUAUAGAUAGGUUUUUAUUUUUAUUUUUGAAAGAUCAAGUAUAGAUAGGUUGAAACUGAGUAAUCGAGCAAACUUUCGUAUGGUAGCUCAUAUGAAAAAUUAAGCGUUUAAAACAAAUGUAGCAAUAAAAAAAAAAAUUGACUUGAAGUCAUCAAAGAGAUUUUUUUUGACACAUAGUCAUCAAAGAGAUAGAUCUAUCGAGCAAUGAUAUAUAGUGUCACAUGAACAUGUUUUUUAAACUUCACAUUCUAACUUGCAUAUAUUUAUUUUGAUUCCUUACAAAAUGGUUUAUAUCUCCGAUAUGCAAUGUGUAGAUCCCUUGGACGGUUGCAGGAGCAGAACAAUGUUUCAAGUCUAUUUAUAAUAACAAAACAACCCAAACAAAAAUUAUAAGAAAAAAAAUUAUAUAUUCAUAGGGGUCGUAGGCGUAUUUGAAUCUAGGUUUGCAUAUAUACAUUAGGCUUAAAUAUAUUUUUAGUCUUUUAUCUUUUACAACAAAUGUAUUUUGGUUAUUUAUCUUAUUUUGGUCCUUUUUUGUCAAAAAAAAAAAAUAUUUUUUCUCUAUUUUUUAAAAAUUGGUAUCUUUUUAAAAAUUAGAGAAAGUUGAAAACUAUAAAUCCACGUGGCUUCCGGUUUGUCAAUUGUAUUGUAGCAAUCUAAUCUCCUCUAAAGGAGUGCGUCAAAUCCUUUUUUUAAAAGGACGUCUCAAUAAAAUCUCCUUCUAAUAUUUAUGUUCUUGUUUUCGAUUUCAACAAUCUUUUUCACUAUUCCGAACAAACAACAGUGUCUUUCCUUCUUUUUUAUCAAGUAGUAUAGUGACUAAAAUUUAUAUUUUUUAAGGUGAAUGAGUUGAGUGUCUAGAGUUAGAACUCUAACAUCUGCAUAUAAUAAUGUCUGUCUCUGGUAACUAAACUAAUUUCCUUUUCUAAAACCAAAAGCCUAAAAUUUUCCUUAAAGCCUAAACUAUUCACCUUAAAUAUAAAUUUUAGUCAUUCACCUUGAAAAAUAUAAAUUUUAGGCUUUUCUCAUGCCACGUAUUAAAAUUCUGUCACUGAUGUUAUAAUUUAUGAUUAAAAGACUAAAUCCUAAAUCUUUUUAAAAAUAUAAAUAAAUUACCAAAAUAUGAUAAAAUUAAGAUAAAGCAUCAAAAUGUAUUUUUAAUAAAAGAUAAAAGACUGAAAAUAUAUUUAAGUCAACAUGUUAAGGGAGGAAGGGACCAUGGGGACCCUCGACUACCCUCCCUAUGUCCUUUGUCCUUACUGCUCAUGUCACAAUAACAAGUAAAUGAUUUUUAAGAUAUUUUGAAUAUUCAACUGAUGUACUUGUGCUAAAUUAAAUUGCCAGCAACAAACGAUAAUGAGAGUCACCCACUUAGUUCAGUUUUUCUUUUUCAUCAAAUCUAACAAAAUUUAUGCAUUAAAUGUUUCUCUAUUUUCUUCUAUAGGUACAAAUUUGCAGUUAUGAGCAUUUAAUGUUAGCAAAAAUAUAUCCAAAUAGCAUUGCAAUUUUUGAAAAAUAUUAUGAUUCACAUGAUCUACUCAUCCAAACAAUGAUAACAAUUUUUUUUUUAAAACAUUGUUGCCGACUCUAUUAUGAUGUUACUCCCUCCGUUCCUUUAUACAUGUCAUUUUAUAUAAUUUUUUUGUUUCUAAUUAAGUGUCAUUUUCAAAGUUCAAUGUAACAUUAAAUGUUGUUUUUCUUAUAAUGCCCUUAGUAAUUUAUUGCAGAGAGAUAAAUUUAAGAAAUAUAAUAUUAAAUAAUUAAGGAUAUUAUAGGCAAACCAUAAGUUAUUGUAUCAAAAGUAGUGAAAUACAUUUAAUGUUUUGGUUUGUGUAAAAAGUCAAAAUAUGAUAAUUAAAAAGGAACGGAGGGAGUAUGAUUUAGUGAUAAGUAAGUGGCAUGCUUGGCAAUGUCUAAUUUGACACAAUUUUUGGCAUUAAAAUUUAUGAGUUAGACUAACAAAUACUUUUAGGGUACUUGUUAAAGAUUCAAAAAUAAAAAUAAUUGAAUAUACAAUUUUUAAGAUUAUUAAAAUUUCACUUUAAAUUUCUAAGCAAAUGUCAUAAGGACACUUGUUAACAUCUUACAAAAUUCAUUUGUAGUCAAACUAGUACAAAUAACAUUUCCAUCGAAUGAGAAUCAACUCCAAAAUUUCACGGUGAUCGUUGUACUUUAUUUAUACUUUUGUACUCCAACAACUUUUCUAUAUUUAUAUAUAAUUAAAAUGAAUUUUGAUUGUUAUACAUUUAAAAAAAAUUAUUCUAAACUAUCUAAAUAGUAUAAAUUGAUAAGAAUCAAACAAGCAUGUAUUCAAACAUAAAUCAAGUUACUUUCAACUCAAUUUUAAUCAAAAAUCAAUUCUACAAAACUCAAUUUUCACCCUCACAAAGCUAAACCCACACUUUAAUGACCUAAACCAUAAAGAUACCUUGAAAUAUCUGCUCAAUGCUAUAUGGAAAUAAAAUAACAAACGUAACAAUGAAAAUUGAAAGCCACACAAAUGUUUAGUGUCUCUUGGGCAAGACGAAAAUACCAAAUUAAAUCCUCUCAUUUCUUCUUAUAACUCAAUUUAUAAUAAAUUAUGGAGAAUGUUAACUAUUGUCUCAAAAACAUUGGUUAAACAUCUAAAAUAAUAAGUUUUCAUAAAAAAGUUGUGUAAACAUUAUUUGAUCAAAAGUAACAUCUUAUAUUUUCAAAACAAAAUUUCUAUUUGUAGAUUCAUUAACCAUUAACCGGAAGACACUGGUUAGAAAGACCCAUAAAUUAUUUAUGAGAUGUAAUGCUAACCGUUAAGGAUACUAGAAAAUGAAGUUAUUACUUAAUUAUAUUUUUUUUUUACUUUUUAUGGAUUAAUUUCACAAUUUUAAUUCAAUUAAUACUAUAUAAUUUCCUUCUUUAGUUUCUUUAACUACUUUCUCAAGGACACUGAUUAACAUUUCCUUUAUAAUAAUGAUCGAUGAACUAUACGUGUUGUAACUUUUUAAUUUUUUUUACAAAUAUACCUUUAAUGGAAGUUGUGAAACAUUAAAUACAUUCACUAAUAAUAGAAAUACAAUUAUUAAAUAAGGGGUAGAAAAGUCUUUUAAGCAAUAACUAUGUGACAUUUUCUUUUAAAAAUGACCAAUUUUUUUUUUUUAAAAAAACUUUCUUAUAUUAAGGACCAAAGGGACUAAAUUCAUCCAUUGUAGUCAAUUUAUCUAUAAAUGAGUGUUUUUUGAACAACCAUUUAAUUAAACACUUAUAAAGCAACCAUAAUUUACAAAAAAAAUAUUUACACAAAAACUAAAGCAAUAUAAAAAUGAAAUAAAAAAUAAUGUUAAUAUAUGAAAAAUUUAUCAUAAAAUGAAUAUUCAAAUUUCAUUUCUCUUAUCUAACCAAUCUUCCUUUUCCUUAUAUGAAAGUUACAAAGCCGCCACAAAAGACUUUCCUUCAAUCAUUGUAAGGAUAACUCAUUCAGUACGUGGACAUGGUCCUCGAAUUCAAUCAUGUGGAACCAUCCAUAGGCAUAGCCAUAAAUAUUUAGAGGUUCAUGUUUCCUUCAUCAAUGGCAAUUUUAGCAUAUGAUAAUGAUUGAUGUCUUUAUAGGAGUGUUUUCGAUCAACCCACAAAUCUUGUGCUUAUAGAUACUCUUGUUUAAAGAGUUGUCUAGAACCAAAUAUUUUUAACAAAAUUCAAUAUGGUAAGUUACUAUUAUUAUAAAACUUAUUUAAGUUGGAUUGAGUAUAUAAUGAAAUAAAAUCAUUUGAGAAAAAUUAUUUGUCUCAAAAUACUUUUUUUUUUUGUAGGGAUUUGUCUCACAAUACUUAAAGCCACUAAGUAGUAACCAUUGUUUUUAUCAUGAAUUUAUUUUGUGAUUUUUUAUACAUAAUUUUAUUAAAAUUGAGGUGUUAUAAAUAUUUUUAUGAGGUCUUACAAUAAAAUGACAAAUCAUUUGGAAGGCCUCAAGUUUGAAUCAUAGCUGAACAAUUUUUAAUCAUGCCUUUUCUACUUUAUAAGUGAACUUGGGUCAGUAUUUUUUUUUUCAUAAAGAUAAUAAGAUUGUUACUAGCAUUUAAACUAUUACCCGCAUAUAAAUUACGAAAAAUAGUUUUUAUAGAAUUUUAAUUACAAUUAUAUUGAUCUUGAUUAAAAUUAUAGGUAUAGAUAAUAGAUAUUUUUCAAUUUUAUAUUGUAACAAACUAUAAUUAUCUUUUUCAAUGUUAACAAAAAUAUAAUAAAUUUAUUUUUAUUUUUUUGAAUGAUUUCAACAAAAUAGUAUUUUUAUAAUCAAAUUUGUUUAAGAAUAUAAUUGAAAAGAAAAAAUAUGCAUAAAACGGCUUAUUUUUUUUGACUGGUGCUAGUCACACCCCAAAAAAAACAAGUUACACCCCAGAAUGACUAAUAUACCCCUAAGUUGAACAUAAGUAAACUAAAUUUACAUUAACCUAAAUUGAACAUAAGUAAACUUAAUUUACAUUGAACAUAAGUAAACUUAAUUUACAUUGAACAUAAGUAAACUAAAUUUACAUUAACCUAAAUUGAAUAAGUAAACUGAAUUUACAUACUGAACAUAAGUAAACUUAAUUUACAUUAACCUAGAUUGAGUAAACUGAAUUUACACUAACCUCUUAUAUCUAGAUUGAACGUAAGUAAACUAAAUUUACAUUAACCUAGAUUGAACAUAAGUAAACUAAAUUUACAUUGACAUAAGUAAACUAAAUUUACAUUAACCUAAAUUGAACAUAAGUAAACUGAAUUUACAUUAACCUAGAUUGAACAUAAGUAAACUGAAUUUACAUUAACCUAGAUUGAACAUAAGUAAACUUAAUUUACAUUAACUUAGAUUGAGUAAACUGAGUUUACACUAACCUCUUAUAUACAUGUAAACUGAAUUUACACUAAUCUAGAUUGAACGUAAAGUUAACUAAAUUUACAUUAACCUAGAUUGAACAUAAUAAGUAAACUUAAUUUACAUUGACAUAAGUAAACUAAAUUUACAUUAACCUAAAUUGAACAUAAGUAAACUUAAUUUACACUAACCUAAAUUGAACAUAUCUCAUACCAAAACAAACAAUAAACAAAUAGAAACUCAUUGAAAAUGAAAUUCAUGAAAUUCACUAAUCUUUAUGAAUAUAGUACAAAUCAAUAACAAAGAUGUUGAUUCAAAUAUUGGUUGCACAUCUAUGGUGAUUUGUGGAUGAAAGGGGGUAAGGGUUCAGAAUGAUCAUAAAAGAUGGAUUUUUAAAAAUUUACAUGAAAAGGACAAUUUUGGUAUUAUUGUAAAAAUUUAAAUAAAUUUAGGUGUAACUAAUUUUUUUUGGGGUGUGACUAGCACCAGUCAUUUUUUUUUAUAGAUAUAGAGUAACACUUGUUUUGCAAAAUAAUAUAGUACACAUUCUCCAUAAUUAUAAACAUAAUUUCUUCUUAAAGAUAAUUUCUUGUUUUGCAAAAUAAUUUCCUGUUGGUAAAAAAAAAAUAAACAUAAUUUAUUUUUAAGAUUCAUUGAAUAACUGUUUUUUUUAAAAAAACUUUAUUAGAUGAUUAUUGUAUCUGAUCUAUAUAAAUAAAAUACAUUGAUUAUUUAAUCAAUAUGAAAAAAAAAAAAAAAAUUAACUUAUAAUAUUGACGGGAUGAGAAUUUUCAGUUGAUUUUAUUGAUUGAUGCUAUCUAUAUUUAGACCAGAGAAGGGUCUAGUUGUUGCCCCGGCAACUAAUAGACCACUCAUAUGUGAUAACAGGGAAGUGAGAAGAAUUCACAAAAUACUACACGUGUCCUUUGGUGUCCCCAGUCAAUUAAUUCUUCCACAUUGACACUUUGACAAUAUUGAGGCAUUAAAAGCAAUGGAUUUUUCCUUAAAAAAAAUGUAGGGUUAAUUAAAUUUUGACUAAAGUGCAUUUUUCCACCCCUAACUUUAAAAAACUUACAAUUUUGACCUCUUAAGUACAAAAACUAUAAUUUUGGCCCCCUAAGAUUUAACCCCUUUGCAACUUUGAUCAUUUUUGUCAAUUUUGACCGGUCAAUGCCUAUAUGGCAUGCCACGGAUGUAAUUAAUGAAUUAAAAAUUAAAAAAACCAUAUAAUCAUUUUUUAAAUCAAAUUAAUGAAAAAUGAAAUUAAAAAAAAAAAAAUAGGAUAAAAAUUAAAAAUAAAAUUCAAAUCCCUCAAUCUUUUAUUUCUUCUUCUUCAUCAUCUCUUCCUCUCAAAACACCCACUGUCACUCUCCUCCGACCACCAUCGGCGGUGACACCUCCUCCUUCUUAUUCAACAAUGCCUCUAUCGCAGCCGUCAUCCAACUUCUUUUUGUGGUGUUUCUUUUUUCUACCCAAUUUGGUUUCUUCUGUUGGUUUUUUAUUUUACCUGCUUUUAAACUUUUGUUUGUUUUUGUAUCUUUUGUAAGAAAAAUUAAAUUUCCAUAACUCUUAUUAAUUAUCUUAAAUACAAAAGAUGAAAAAAUGAGAGAAGAGAACAAUGAAACAUGUAGCACCGCUAGCUAUGUAAGAAUAGUAAUGUCGGGAAUUGUUGGUGAAAAAGUUUGUGUGUGGAAUUGGAAAUAUAACAGUAGAUUUGGAUGUGUUCCAGCCUCUAUCAUCACAGCCGCUUACCUCCACUACAUCAGCCACCAUCUCCAACUUGAGAAUCUUCUUCACUCAUGUUUCAAGGUCUUUUUUCAUUUAUUAAUUCAUGAGCUUAAUUUCACUACAACUUACAAAACGUUUGAUCAGUUAUAUAGUAUAUAUCUUCAUGAAAAUGGACUAGAACAAAAAGAACAAGAAAGUGAAGAGUUUGUAGAUGAUAUGUGUUGGUGAUGAGGAUGAAUGGUGAUAAUGAAUAUUAGAAGAUGAUGGAUGGUGGUACUUGUGAUGGGGGAAGAUGAUAUGUGCCUCUCCUUCUUCAUCUGCUUGUAUUUUUAUUUUAUUUUUCCUGAUUUUUUUAAUUUUUUAAUUUUAUUUUUCAUUUAUUUAAUUUAAAAAAUGAUUAUAUGAUUUUUUAAUUUUUUUAAUUUAUUAAUUACACACGUGGCAUGCCACGUAGGCAUUGACCGGUCAAAAUUGACAAAAAGGAUCAAAGUUGCAAAGGGACUAAAUCUUAGGGGACCAAAAUUGUAGUUUUUGUACUUAGGGGGUCAAAAUUGCAAGUUUUUAAAAGUUAGGGGGGAAAAAGUGCACUUCAGCCUUAAAUUUUUUAUCCUAUAAAUAGCUGCAGUUUUGUUUUUAGUCCUUAUAAAAAUAAAUUACAUUUUUUAGUCCCUAUUUUUCGUUAGCGCUUUUAGUUCCUAUAAAAUUUUUUGUCAGCAUUUUUAGACCCUAUCAAAAAUUUCCAUCAACAUUUUUGGUCUCUAAAAUGCUUAGGGAAAAUUUCACAGGGACUAAAAAGUGUGAUUUUAUUUUAUAGGAACUAAAAUCAAAACCGUGAAUAUUUAUAGGGGUUAAGAACUUAAUUAACCCAAAAAUGUAAUCGAUUUUUAUGAUUGAAAUCAAUGUUCACGGGACACUCUUUAAGCAUUUUUAAUAAAGAAAUUAUUCUUUAAAAAAGUUCAAGACUUCAAUUUUCAAUGCAAUAAAUGUACAAAACUUUCGUAAAAUCUUACCACUUUGAGUGCUUAACUAGUCUGUCAGGGACACUCGUUAACAUUACCCUUAAAAUUAACAUUGCUUUGAUUAUUUUAGUUCAAUUUGAAGAAACAUGGUAAAUACACAUAGAUAUCAGAGGUUCGAAGCUUGUAUAAUAAAAAUAGGGAAAUGUUAACAAAUGCCCUUGGUUAAUAAGGGUCUUGCUAACAAGUGCUAUAAGAACAUUGUUUAAGGAACCCACAAAAAGAAAUUAUGUAUUGAAAAUACAAAUCAAACAUAUGUUAAAGUCAUAACUGUACACUUUCCAGUGCAAUUGUAUGUCGUUUUGGAAAAAAAAUUUGUCCCAAAUUGUAUGUCGUUUUACAAUACCAAUGAAGCAUUAAUGUUAUUUUUUCUAUUAUAUCCUUAAUUAUUUACUACUUUCUCUUCUUCCAAGUCAUUCAUUUAUCUUUCCCAUAUCAUUUACUAAGGACAAUUUUGUAAAACAAUUCAUAAUAUUCAUUUUUCACACAAAAUUAAUUACAUUUCUUAAUAUGUGUGAAAUGCUCAAAACGUCAUACAAUUUGGGACGGAGGGAGUAUAAUAAUACAGAUUUAAAUAUUCCAAAUAAGUUUACUUAUGAAAAUUAUUAGUAGAAAUAUAGAAGAUAAAAUUAUCAUUGAUACAUAAAUAUAUUUAUCUUGUUUUGGCACUUUUAGUCUCUAUUGUGACUAAAUAAAGAGUUAUGUUAACAAUGAAAAAUUGUCAAGAUAAGAUUCGUAAAAGUAUAUUUUACUUUUUCUAUAUAUCUGUCCCCCUCAUAAAAUUUUGACUUGCUUUGCCACUCUUAUGGCUCUUCGUUAAUAAGAAUAGUAGCAACCUAAUUUGAAAUUAUAUUAUAAAGAUUGUGUGAAGCAUAAGAUAGAAAUGUUCGUGCAAGAGUAUGAGUGCUACAAUUUGUUUGAUGCCUAGUCAACACAACUUUGUACCUGUUGUGAUUCAUGAGAAUAAUUUUACAAUCUUGGAAGAUCAUACCGUACUUUGAGUGAUUUAAUUUAUUUUUGUUAUUAUCAUCAACCACCAUUUUGCAGCGUUUCUAAUACCAUGAAGUGAUGCUCUAACGAGUUCAACCAUUCAAGUUCACACAACAAACUCCAACAUUUCAAAGGACAAGCAUACAUGUUUCUUGCUUUUUCUCCCAGAGUUCAAGAUUGUGUUUCAUGCUUAUUCUCGCAAAGUUCAAGAUUGUGUUUCUUCUAUAAGCUCCAAGCAGACAUGGCAAAGUUCACUAAUUAAUUUUGACUCAUCUGUUUCCAUAAUCUAGCAACACAUCAUUGAAGCCUGCGGUAUCUUCCAUUAAUCCUUCCAACGAAGGACACAAGUUCAAUUUUCGCCAACAAAUUAACACCAUCAACAUAAGAACAAAUGUCAAUUAUAUUCAGUGUAGGAUUGACAAACCACGCUAUUUGACUGACAUUCAAUACACUUGCUAGUUAGCCUCUGUCAAUCAGGUAGUUAAUCCCUCCCAAGUAUUAGUGUGUAAUUCAAACCUUAAUCAUGUUUGUUUGUUAGUUAGGGUUAGUUACUUGUCUCUCAAGUAACUAACUGAUUUACCUAUAUUUUAGCUAGUUAGUUACUUUCUGUUUGUUACUUGAUACACAAGUAACAGUGAACAUCUUUGUAUAUAUAUAGUGUAUCCCAUUAUGAAUAAACAAUGCAAUUUUUCACAAUUCAUUAAUUCUCUUAAUUUUUCAAUCUAUUAUUCUCUCUAUCACCAAACUGUUUCUUCUAAUCCAAGUCAUCAACACAGAAACCCUAACAAAAACUGUUAUCCCCUAACACCAAGAGGCCACAUAAAAUGUUUAACCUUCGGAGGGAUGGGAAGUGACCACAUCUUGUUCCAAUCUCUUUCCCGUUUCUAAUUAAUCAUCCCUAUUUAUGAUAAUGUCAACACAAACUCAAUAAGCACUUUUGACUAAAUAUAGACCUUUUCUUGACGAAUCUUCAUAUUAUUGCAUCCUUUCUUGCAAGAUUAGUUCACGGAAUGUUGAGAACUUCAUGUACAUCUAUCUCACUAAAUAAAUUCCAAAGAAGGUUAGUAUUCAAACUUCUAGAGUUUGUAUCAAUAGGUGUACUAAAUUUGUAUGUAGCUAAAAAAUUGGUACAUACAGUAGAUAUAUAUAACAUAACCCUCCCUUCGACAAUAUUCUUUUUUUUUUGCUAAGCAGUGAGAAAGACAAACAUCAGGAGGUAACACCGACGUCCCAAUUAGGUUGACAUCCUGGAAAACCACCGUCCUCUGUCCGCUAAACUCUAAAAAUUUAUUAAUAAAGAGAAAAAAUAUAUACAAGAAGAGGGGAGACUAGACCAAAACCCUAAAAAAAAAAACAAAAAUAUAGGAUUAUGUUGACAUUGUUGAGAAGACCAAAUUCUACAUCAAACAAAGAUAGGAUUAUGUCCUAAAAGACACUCCCAAAAAAUCCCUAUUAAACAGGUAUAUAGCUUUGAAAAGAGUGUAAUAUUUUUUCAAUCAUCUUUUCUGCAAAGGAAUGAUGUAAUAGAAAUACACUAAUACAAUAAGAAGGGAUAGCUUGAGCAACUGAUUUAAUGAACUCUCCUUUCCUGUUCGAGAGAGCUUCUUACUAUUCCAACAAGAAUUAAGCUUCCACAACCGAUUCUUAAUGUAGUUAAAGAUCGAUUUUUCGCUUCUACCUAUCAUAGAUUGGAGCCCAAGAUAUUUUCCGGAGCCCAUGCACUUUGGCACUUGUAAAAUAUUAGAGAGCGUGGAGGAAUAUUUCUACUAAAGAAAAUCUCAUAUUUUUACUUCUUAAUCAUUUGCCCAUAAGUAUUUGCAUAUCUAUCUAAGAUUCCUUUUAGUAUAUGUGUUUCAAUUUCAUUGGCUCUAAAAAAUAAGUUGCCAUUUGCCCAAAAAAAAACAUGACAAAUAGUAGGAACUCAUCAUAUUACCUUCACUCCACGGACCAUUCCUUUUUGCAUUUUUAUUAGUGUCGCCAUUCCUUCCGAACACAUAAUAAAAAGAAAAUACGAUAAAAACUCACCCUAUCUUGACCCUCUUUCUAAGUAAGCUAGUAGAGUUUCAAGUUAGAAAUUACAUUCCAUUGAAUAAUAUAUUUAGGAUUAAGAUUUUUGUGAAUAAUAUUCCUACUCGUAUGUAUGUUUGAUAAAAAUUUAGAGUUUGUUCAGAUGGUUGUAAAUUUUUGGUUUUUAUUAUUGAAAAUCCAUUUCAAAGCCGAAACUUGAUUGUGCAAAAUUAGAUUCAUUUUGUAGCCAAUUAUUUUUUGGAAAAUAUGGUUACUAUGAAGGAUGAAUCCUCAAAAACAAAGAAUGAGACCAACCUCUACCAUGAUUUCCACCAAAUCCAUAGUUGUUGGAGUAGUCGAGUGUCCAUUCUUAAGAAAUUGUAUUCAAGCUUGACCAGGUUUUUAUUAUGGGUGAUCAAACAAACACAAAAGCAUAAAGGGACAUGAUUUCAAUCAAAUUAUGUAAAAAGUUCUGUCCAUUUUUACGGAGUUUAAGUUAUGAUCAAGAAAAAAAAGGUUGACGGAAGAAGCCAACAAUUACAAAUCGUAUCGUGUAGAGGAUGAAUAGGGUAGAGCCUAGCCGUUUUUUUGAAUUUAUUUUAAAUAAUAAUUCAAUUAAAUUGAUUUGAUAUGACAUGGAGAAAACAAGAAUUAUAAUUGGAUGACACUCUAAAGUGAUUUUAGAGUGUCAAUGCAUAUCCAUUUUUCCCUAGUAACAGACACUAUGUCAAGUUCGAUUUUCACUUUCAUAUUUCUAAUUUUAAUACUCACUUAACUUAAUAACAACGGAAAUUUAGAAUAUUUACAAGAACAAAACAAAUUUAACCCAAAAUUUUAUAUAACACACCUUUUUUUUUAUAUUGGUUGAAAUUUCACAAACCACAGAAUAUUGUGUGGGAUAUAUAUGGAUUUUAAUUUAGAUUAGCGUAGUCAAAUUUAAUUUUGUAAAUUUGUCCAAAAAAAAAAUUAAUUUUUUCGUAAAUACUCAAAUUAAUUUAAUGUCUGAAUAUUGAAAUAUACCGUUAAUCAUUUAUAUUAAUGAAAAACAUUUAUUUUAUUUGUAUGUUUUUUUAUUGGACCGAUGUGGAAGAGACUUGUUCUAAAAUUUGCUCAUUGUUCGAUUUAUGAUUAGAGUCGUAUAUAUUGUAUCCAGUGUUAUCUUUCAUGUGUUUAUAAUGCAUGUGCUGAAAAAAUUUAAUAACAAUUCAUGGUGGCUCUAAGAACUCGCGCCUAGCUUCCCCAUGAAGUCUGUUGAGCCAUCCACCUUCCUCAAAGUAUAGGUUUAGUCAUAUACAAGGUUUUAAAAAAUGGGCUGUUAUCGGGAAAAAUUCCGUGACAAUAAGGUAUAGGUAGCCGAUGUUAUCGUUUUUUACCGUUUUUAUAGAGUGAACAAAAAUCACAACGAAACGUCGUUUCAACUGCGAUGAAACACCAUUGCGGCCGCAAGAAAUGUCGUUUAUGACAAUUGUCAUAGAAUAUGGAUAUUUUUUCAAUUAAGAUAGAUGAAAAUCAUAUUUUUAGUACAUAUUUAAUCAUAAUGUUGGUUCCUCAUCUAGUUUAGAACUCAAAAUCUAUCUCUAGUUUAUGUUAUUUACUUUACUAUCAUCAUUUAAGAAUUUUGCAAUGUUAUGAUUAAUUCACACCGUGACAACCGUAAUCCGUAGUGCAACAUCCGUAACAGUUGAAAUCGCAAAAUCCUAUACGCGAUCGCGAUCGCGUCCGUUAUUUAAAACAUUGGUCAUAUAUAUGUUUAUUGUUUCUAUUUUAUAUAUAGAUAUAUGAUUAUAAUUUUAUAAGGUUAGGGCAUAAAUUAAGGAACAAAAAGUAGAAGUUUCUCCUUGAAAAUUGAGCAUUCAAUCUCUUGAAAGUUUCAAAAGUUAUUUUAUCAACAAAAAAAUUUAGGGUCAUGUUAACUUGUGCCCUAAGGGCACAAAUAGGGUACAAGUUAAUAAACUAAAAAUGGAAUAAAAAGACAACUUUAGCAUUGAAAAUAUAAAUUUUCAAACUUUUAAUACAAUGAAUGUACAAUUCCCAAGAAAAAGUUUCUAUGUUUAAUUUUCAAAUUUUUAAUACAAUGAAUGUAUAAUUUCCCAAAAAUUUAUUACUUAAUUCUAUUUUAAGUUCCUUAACUUAUGCCCUAACAUGACCCAAUUUAUAAAAGUUUUAUAUUUUAUAUAAGCAUAUUUUUGUUGGGUUACUGGAGGAGCCGAGGGACCGUCCACAUCGAGGCUAGAACAACCACACAAGCAAGAGAGACACCACACUCUUAUCCAAAACCUAAAGGUAAUGUGUUUAUUGGUCCUCUUACUUAUAAGGUGUUCAACCUUUACUCUUUUAUCCGAUGUGGGACAUAUAACUCACACUUGCAAACAACAACAAUUUUUAGAAAUUUUAGUGAAUUUUAUCUAAAAAAUAACAAUAUGUUACAAAUAUGUAUUAAGAAGUUUUAUGUUAUGAAUUUUACUCCCUCAAAAAAAAAAAUGUUAUGAACUUUAUAAUCGGUCAAUUUUCUUAAAAACCAAAUUAAAGUAAUAACAACAAUGAUAUAAUACACAUUCACCACUUCUUGCAAAAGCUCAUCCCCAUCACAGAUACAUAGAUUGAUGCAAAUUUAUACAUGAUUUUCACUCCUGGAAUAUCUUUACUAUAUAGUGACAAGAUAGAUGACAGCAACUGAGAUUGAUGUCUAUCUAUGCAUGCCAUUUUUUAUCAACUCACAAACAUUAUUUAUUCAUGAAAUUUAUUAUUAAGAAAGAGUGCAUCAUAACAUGAUCAUAGCAUUAUGAUCAAUUCUGAGUUUUGUCCUCAGCUUGCACGGCAACAAAUUCAGCAUGUGAGCAGCAAUGGCCAUGGCAAUAGUAAUGGCAACCACCUCCACCAUGGUGAGAACCACCUCCACCGUGAGAACCACCUCCAUAGUAAUGUCCACCACCAUUGUGGUAAUUACCACCACCAUUGUGAUAACCACCACCACCAUAUUUGGCAUCAUUUACUUCAUUAGUCUUUUCCUCAGUUUGGACGGCAACAAAUUCAGCAUAUGAGCAGCAAUGGCCAUGGCAAUAGUAAUGACAACCACCUCCACCGUGGUGAGAACCACCUCCACCGUGGUGAGAACCACCUCCAUAGUAAUGGCCACCGCCAUUGUGGUAAUUACCGCCACCACCAUAUUUGGCAUCGUUUACUUCAUUAGUCUUUUCAACAACCUCUGCAAACAUAAUAUAUAUGAACGAUUACAUUUUAUAUACAUAUAAGAAUGAUCAAAUCACAUCGCUGUAAUGUUUGAAUAUUUUUACAAUGCUCAAAAACUUCUUAUUUGAUACUUAUUUUAUAAAGCUAAACAGUUAAAUGUAUAAUUAUAUGAUAGAUAUUAAAUAUAAUUAUGUAGAAAAGAAUUAAUAAAAUAUAUAAAUGCUCAUGAAUAUAUAUAGAGAGAGAAAUAAUAUAUAACUCACCCUUUUUGGCAUCAGAGGAAGUUUCAGUUAAGUCCCUAGCGGACACUUCUGAGGAAAUAAGAAGAACCAUAGCCAAGAGGCCUAGGAUGAGGAUUGCCUUUUUCGAAUCCAUUGUUCAAUAUCUGUUCAAAUGUAAUAUUUGGUAGUGAACGAUGAGAAAACUAGUAAGAAGUGUGCUCUAUAUAUAAUGGAGGGAAAGAGUGGUAUGUAGGGACCUUUACUUGGUAGUUGAAGAUAGCUGGUGUAUAUAAAUUCAAUCUUAUCUAUAAAUUUUGAAGUAUAGUUUGAUAAUUUUGAUACUAAUCAUAAUCAAUCUAUACUAUAUAUAUAUAUAUAUAUAUAUAUAUAUAUAUAUAUAUAAUAUGUGUGGUUUUGAAAUAUGUAAUUUUCGGGUAAUUAUUUUAGUUCUAACAGAAAUGUUAUCUAUUAGAAAGAUAAGAAUUUAUAUUAUAUUUACUAUAUUUGUUAGAGUUACUGAAAAAUAUAAAUAUAAUUUCUUACAAUAUUUAAAUAAAAAAUAUUUUUAUUUUUAAUUUUAAUCAAAAUUUUAUAAAAAAUAUUGUUCGUUUAUGCAUAUUGACACAAUAAAAAAAUCCAUGUAUAAAAAAGAAAUGAUCGGACAAAGCUUGUAAACACUAUUACCCCGUUUCUUUUUAAUUGUCGUUUUUUAACAUCUAGAUAAACCAAGACAAUCAAUAUACAUGACUACUUUUGAUACAAUAAUUUGUAUAUUUUUACUAUAAUAACUUUAUAAAUUUAAGAAGAAUGCUAGAGACAUUCUCUUUUAAACAUUCUCUCUAACACUUACUCUUUUAAUUGGAUGAAAUUAAUGUACGUCUCACCACUUCAAGUAGAACACAUUUUUAAAGGGUGAGACACACCUUCUUUAAACCAAUAAAAAAGUGAAUGUCCGAGAGAUUGUUGAAAAGAAAGUGUUAUUAGCACUACUCUAUAUUUAAUAUAUUAUUUCAUAUGUUUCUCUCUUUCCAAAAAAUAAUGAACUUUGAAAAUCACAAUUGAAUGGGACCACAAAUUUUCUGCAAAAUAAACACUAGAAAAGGAAGGAAGGGAGUAGUUUGAUGAUUUUGAAUACUCCAUUGUUAUUCAUUAUGAGUACUAGUAAAGAUCGGAGGCUAUGAAAAUGAUCCAGGUUUCUACUUGCUAUUGGUUAAAAGUGAGAGCACCCGAAGCAUACUAGUGGUUCAUACUAGCUAUCUCUCAUCUCAUGGAGAUAUGUAACAUCCCAACUAAUCCACACACAUCCCUAAAAGAAAAUAAAACUAAUCCAUACACAUUCAUAAUAUUUUUUCCAUAAAUAAUUAGCAAGAGAUCAUUAUAAGGUAUCAUCUAAACUUUUUCAAGAGUAUUGUUGUUGAAUGCUUAAUUUAUUCAUCUGUAAAUAUUAUUUUUAAUUUUCCUUUUUAUUAAAGAACUGAUGUAUAUGAUAUAUCUUAUAAACUAUAUACCUUCAAGGGAGGAUCUUCUCAUGAGCAUGGAUGAGUCAUGGUUCACCCAAACUAAAAAAGAAAACAUUUUUAAUAAGUAGGAAGCCCCUAAUAUGGACCCCUUAUUUUAAGGUCCACUCAUGGUCCUUGUUAAUUGACCGGCAAUAAUGGGUAAUGCACUGUACACCCUCCUUUGAACAAUGGGUAAUACACUUUCAAGUUUACACCGGAACAAAUUACUUUCCUAAUUUUGGUCAUCCAUUUCUUCUUCAACUCUUACUGUACAACUUCAUUCCAUGUAAAUAUGUGAAUUUUGAUUCUUGGGUAUGUCGUUUCCAUAAAAGAAGAAAAAUAAUCAUCCGAAUUUCAGCAAUUCAUAAAUCUUUGUUGAACGUCAAUCUCCAAAAUUCUAAAAUCCUUAUAUUUGCUGCCCUUAUAUCUGGUCACCUUUCCCCCCACCGAUUUCAGAACCACCAUUCAUGAUGUUCUCUUUGCAGAACUUCCAAGGUCGAGUCCUUUAAUAUGAGAAAACACUACUAUAAAAUUUUAUUCCAAUUAAACUGGAUUCCAGGUUUGGAUGAAGUCUAUAUGGUGAAGAUGUUUAUGGUGGUUGUUUUGUUGGCAAGAGUUAAUGGUUGCAAUAAUAGUGUUGGCAUUUACAAUUCUGUUUGUCGAAAAUAAAUUGAAGCCUGUCAUUUUCUGUUUAGUCCAUAUGCUAUUGUUGCAAUGAAAGCUUUGUUGCAGAAUGUGCUAUUUCUUCUUUAGAUGUUGCUUACUUUUGGAUGAUGAAGUUUGUUAACACUGAAUUUAAUUAAAUCAUUGCGUGAAUGAUGGAAUUGAAUUUGGGAAGAAAAAGUGAGUAAGGGAUUUGUUGUGCGAAUGAUUCACGUGGAAGGAGAAUGUACAUUGCUAGUUGAAGAAGAAAUAAAGGAAAAAAAAUUGAUGUUCCCAUAUAAACUAGAAGGGGUGUGUCUACCCACUAUUGCCACUCAAUUUGCAAGGUCCAUGGAUGGACCUUAAAAUAAAGGGUCCAUAUUAGGGGCUCCCUAAUAAGUAUAUCCAUAUAUUAUAUUAAGAGUAUAUUAUAGCAAGAGAUCAUUAUAUGGUAUCAUCUAAACUUUUUCAAGAGUAUUGUUGUUGAAUGCGCUUUAUUCAUCUGUAAAUAUUAUUUUUAAUUUUCCUUUUUAUUAAAGAACUGAUGUAUAUACUAUAUCUUAUAAACUAUAUACCUUCAAGGAGGAUCUUCUCAU
rnacentral:lncRNA from 1 species